rnacentral:lncRNA from 1 species
UGUUUUUUUUGUAAUUAAAAUGCCAUGGCACUCCAUGCAUACAUAUGCAUGCGUCCAUGUCGUGAGAUAAAUAUGUAUGAAAAAUCCUUCUAAUUUACUGCACAUGGAAUUAACUCGCACACAAGUACACAAAUAUGAUUUUUCAAACCAUUAUGGUUAGCCGUUGCAUCUAGAUGUAGUUCAAAUUUGAAUUAUGGUCAUUAAAUGGCUAGAAAAUCAAUUAAAUGUCUUCAAAAGGUCAAAUGACCCCUGAAAUUUUCCAAAUUUUCACAUGACAGUUGUAUUAGUGCACGUUACAUGUAGAAAAAAUUUGAAGGCUGUAAGAGGAAGCUAUAUCACGUUCGUCAUCAAACAUGCGUUGUUCCCUCUCGGAACCACGAGCGUUCUAGUGAGUUGCUCCGGUUUGUGAGGGGUGUGUGUCCAAACUUUCAUCACACAUGCCAACAAUUUUACCACAUCAUCUUGGUAGCAUGACAUUACAUCAACCAAGGUUUCAUGUGUUUCUAAUAUUUUUUAAAUUUUUUGGAAUUUAAAUGCCAUGGCACUCCAUGCUUAAUUGUGUCAUAGCCGUUAGACCAAUAUGUUUGAAAAUUCCUUCCAAUUUACUGCACAUGGAAUUAAAUCACACACAAGUACACAAAAUAUGACUUUUCAAACCGUUAUGGUUAGCUGUUGCAUGUACAUGUAGUUCAAAUUUCAAUUACGGUCAUUAAAUGGCUAGAAAAUCACUUAAAUGUCUUAAAAGGUCAAAUGACCCCUGAAAUUUUCCAAGAUUUGACAUGAUAGUUGUAUUAGUACUACAAAAUUUCACGUAUAUUUAAAACACCAUCCGUUGCCACUUUACUCCAAACUCUUCUUUCACAGCUAAUAAAAACUAUCUACAACAUCACACACAGUUGUUUUCUAGGAACCGUUUGUGACGAAAAUAUCUGGGUCUAUUUAAGUCUCCCUCCUUAGGCUUCGCCAGCUCGUCUGCUCCAGUGCCGGCAACCCCCGAAUCCACAAAUCCCGAUACCCAUUCCCGCACCCCCUUCGUGAAGGCCUGUACGAUGGCCGCGUCCCCCUCGAGCGCACCCGCCUGCACCGAGAGCGUGGCUGCCUAUGCCAAGAGUGCCGCCGCAUCCGUGUUGAGCACGGCCGCUUCCACCAUGAGGGCAUCUGCGGCAGCCAACAGGGUCGCUGUAGCGGCCGAGACAGCUUCAGCUGCUACAGCGAUGGCGACUGCAAACGCCGAGAGUGCUCGAGCUGCCGUUCGUGCCGUCGAUGUCGCCCUGGCCUAGGUCGAGGCCAUCCAAGCCAAGAUCGAGGAUGCACACGCUAAGAUAUUCCAGACCACCUCAGACUCCAGCAUGCAACCCACGUCCGAAAAGGCGGUGGUGGCCAUGGAGCACCUUCUUCCUCAUGAGAUCGCCAAGCAGGAGCUGGAGAUGCAGGAGGCGGCGGAGAUUGAGGAGCGCCGGGAGGAGGAAUUGCGCGUGGCCGAGGUCGAGGUAGAGAAGAGUCUGUCCGUCGAGGAAUCGGCGGUGGAGUACCAACACGAGCUCUGGCACAACCACUACUACGAGUAAUACAACCUUGAGGGCGGUGCCGAGGACGAGGACGAGGACGCGGUUGACUUCAGCAAGGGGGGACGCGGAGUCCACCAACAGCAGCAUGUCGCCAGGACACGUCCUCGACGUCUCAUCUCACACCGGCGAUGCAUAGGCCGGUGCAGUGGUGGAUUUGUUAAAAUUGUGCGUACUUAGGCUUUGUUUUUAAUGCUAGUCUUUUGCUAGAGCAAUGUUUAGAUCAACUGGCUCUGUUUAAUUACUAAAAUUGCUCGAUUCAGUAAGUGUGGUUUGUCUGCUGUACGCUCUUUUGUGUGCCCAAAUUAGCAAGCAAUGUUAAAUUAUGCAAUGACGUAUUCGGGGAAAUUUCCACCAAAAUAUGAAUUAUCAAACUCAUCCCAUGCGCGUAAAGCAGAAGAAUCGUUUGCGAUGCACACAAUCAUUCAAAGUGAAUGGUCCGGUGGCACCGCGCAUGAAGUUUCCCUCCACAUUUCCAAAAUGUUGGCCUACCGCCAAAAUAUCUACCCCUCCCUCCUUCCCCACCCCCUUUUCUUCCCGACCACAAGUCACAUUUCCCCUGUUUCCUCCUUCCUGCCUUCCUUCCUUCCUAAGCUAUAGCCGCUUCCUCGCUCUCGCCGUCUCGCAUCCUACCAUCGGGGUCGCCAUGGUCUUCUUCAAAGACCUCUCUAGCGGUUCCUCCUCCGGCGACGACUCCUUCACAACCCGGGUAUGCAUCUCUUCUCCCUCUCGGACUAUGACUUGGAAUGAAGGAUUUUUACCCGAUGGUCGAUUUGAGUCAUUUCUUCCUCUUGUAGAUCCCUAGGACCAUCAGUGGCAACGAAUGGAGUGGGGUGGUUGAAGAUCUAUCUGCUCGUUGUCACCAUCAAUCUCCAUGUGUGAAGCUAGUUGCGUUUGAAUCUGUGGACAGUGGGAGGAAGUUUCUCGCAUGUGCAGAGAAGGUUAGACCCUCUUUCGUAGUUACAAAUCAUUUGUUAGAUGUGAUUCAGACACUGUCACGGUCCCAACCCAUUCAAACCACACCUUCAACCGAACGCAUCCUAAGACAGUGUCAUAGUUUGUACCUAGUAUCUAAAAUUGUUGCCAUCUCAUCAGCGGUGCCAAUAGAAAAUUAUUUGGCAUUGCUUCAGCAGUUUGUGCAGCCAAGUUUGGUCCACACAUCUGAGCAACCAAGAAGUAAAAUAUUAAACCUUUAUGGCAUGAAGGAACUGGGCAUCGGAGCAACUAGGUGCUCCGGAGUCCGGGUCCCUGAUUUUUUCCGCUACAUCGGCUCGUCAGUGCAGGGCACCGGUGCGAGAUGUAGCAAAAGUUGUCUUUACACCAGUUUUGGCAUACAUAGUGGACAACCUUAGUGCAAUUAGUUCUAUGUUACUAAAUUUGUGCAUGUACACACCUGUUAGUAUCAAUUUAUUGUCAUCCAAACACUGUCGCUAUGAUGUUGCAGUUAUAUUUACCUUCCUCAUAAAAUGUUCAAUUUGUUAUUUAUUGUACAUGAGUAAGAACUUGUAGCAUUGUUGUAGUUAAUUAUAGCUUCUGGUGUUCCAGAAUUUGGUUGUUGUCUCAGUAGCAAUUAAUUCAUUUGCACAUUGAUCUUUUUGAGAAGAUAUGUCAUAAUUAACAUGUUUCUUCAAUUUUUCAAAAUAAGCAUUGGUGAUUUUAUAUGUUGCUAUAAACCCAUUGCCCCUACAAUUGUUACUGAUCUAGUGUUAAAUAUUAUAGGAUGAAUGGAAGUGUUCUUACUUGGAGUGGGUUGAUCAAGAGUGGCCACAAUCUUUGAAGAUGUGCCUAGCAAAGCUCUGGAGCAUGUAUGAGGAAGAGAACAGAGAAAGUGUUGUCAACGCUGAAGAAUAUUUGAAAAUGCGGGAUAAAAAGAGGAAGGUGGAGAAUGAGCUCAGAUUUUUUAAAUCAGAGUUUGCUAAGAUGGUGUUGGCGAAGGAGGAGGCACUUUCCCAGUUGGCCAGUGCAAAACAGGUUCUUACUGGACUGAAAGAAGAGGUGGAUAGACGAGCCUGUAUGAUCUUGAUUAGGGAAAUGAAUAUAUUGUUGUUAUGAAGUUGAACUAGCUAUAUGUUGUAUUGUGUUGUUUUCAUGUAGCUAUCGUACUAUGAUGUUAUAAUAUAUUUAUGUGCCUGAUAUGAAAUUGGCAAACAGCUGUCUGAUAUGAAAUGUGAAUUUGCGUAAUACUGGAAUUAUUAAUUGUAAACUAAUAAACCUGCUAAAUGUGUCAUGGAACUUUGCAAACGGUUCUAGCAGUAAAAGCGCUUGUGAUGGAUAGCCCAAUGCCACACAGUUUUCUUCAUCAAAUCGUGUGUGAUGUAGUUGAUAAAAGCAAACAGUUAACCAAGGCAGAGCGUGUGUGAUAGUUACACCUUUCAUACACGAGCCUACACAUAAAACUGUGUGGGAUGUACAUAGGAACAUAAAUGUUUUCCCUGGAUUGACUGUGUGGGAUGUACAUAAGAACGGAAACGUAUUCCUUGAAUUGACUGUGUGUGAUAUACAUACGAACGGAAACGUUUUCCCUAGAUUGACUGUGUGGGAUGUACAUAAGAAUGGAAAGGUAUUCCUUGGAUUGACUGUGUGUGAUAUACAUAUGAACGGAAAUGUUUUUCUUGGAUUCACCAUGUGGGAUGUACAUACGAAUAGAAAUGAUUGGGUUUCGAUGCCUCACCCGGUCGCACACGAGUCCCAGGAGGGCCUAUCCCUGACAGUUCUGGGUCGUGUGCGAAGGACCCCCCCCCUAUUGCCCACACUCACUUGGCGACGGUUCCAAAUGCCGUCGUGGAAAGGGGUUAAAACCAUUUUUAUAGCACCGACGCAUACCAGUGUAUCAUCAUUGUUUUGAAAAAGUGUUGUCAUCCAAGAUUUAUUAUUAUUGCUCACUAGUUGAGUAUGCCAUUGAUAUGAGUAAAUGUGAGACCUAAAUGUUAUUGUGAAUAUGGUUAGUUCAUAAUCUUUGCUGAAAACAUGAAUGCUGGCUAUACAUAUUUGCAACAACAAGAUCAAACUGAGUUUGUAAAAGUUUGUCUUUGUCACUUUCAGUUUGUCAACUGAAUUGCGUGAGGACAAGCAAUGGGUUAAGCGUGAGGGAGUUGAUACGUAUCCAUCGUAUCUACUUUUCCAAACUCUUUUGCCCUUGUUUUGGACUCUAAUUUGCAUGAUUUGAAUGGAACUAACCCAGACUGACACUAUUUUAGGAGAAUUGCCUUGGUGUUAUUUUUGUGCAGAAAUAAAAGUUCUCAAAAUGACCUAAAAAUUUAUGGGGAGUAUUUUUGGAAUAUAUAAAAAUUACUGGCAAAAGAAUCAACUAGAGGGGGUCCACCUAUUGGCCCCAAACCUGGGGGCGCCCCCCCUGGGGCGCCCAGGUGGCUUGUGGGCCCUCUGGACCUCCUCCGAACCUAAUUCCAACGCUAUAUAUUCACAUCCACAGAGAAAAAAAUCAAAGAGAUGGAUUCAUCGCGUUUUACGAUACGGAGCCGCCGUUGCCUCCUGUUCUUCAUCGGGAGGGCUGAUCUGGAGUCUCUUCGAGGCUCCGGAGAGGGGGAUUCGUCGCCAUCAUCACCACCAACCUUCCUCCAUCACCAAUUUCAUGAUGCUCAUUGUCGUGCGUGAGUAAUUCCAUCAUAGACAUGCUGGACGGUGAUGGGUUGGAUGAGAUUUAUCAUGUAAUCGAGUUAGUUUUCAUAGGGUUUGAUCCCUAGUAUCCACUAUAUUCUGAGAUUGAUGUUGCUAUGACUUUGCUAUGCCUAAUGCUUGCCACUAGGGCCCGAGUGCCAUGAUUUCAGAUCUGAACCUAUUAUUUUUUAUGAAUAUAUUUGUGUUCCUGAUCCUAUCUUGCAAGUUGUAGACACCUACUAUGAGUUAUGAUCCGCAUACCCCAAGGUGAUAAUAAUUGGGUGUAGCGAUCCGACCUCAAACGGUCAAAUCUCUGUGCAUAAGUGUCAUCCCUAGAUCGGUAAUGCUGACAUACACAGUACUUGAAGGAUUUAUAACAAAGUAGCAAUCACACACUUAUUACAUCGAAUGUCUCAAAAAACUUAUUACAAUAAAUAUGGCUUAAGGCUAUCUAAGUAAGAUAACAACAGAAGGCUUGGUAGAUAAAGUGAGUCCAUCAACUCCAAUGACAUAGCUGAGUGCACGACAAACGACCUAGCACACCUUACUCUUCGUCUGAAAAGUCUGCAACAUGAUAUGUUGCAUCCCAAAAUGGGUCAGCACAUGGAAUAUGCUGGCAAGAUAACACAGUAGAGCAAUGAACAAGUAAAUGCUAUCACUACAUGCAUAUAUGGCUGGUGGAGGCUCUAUGGUUAUAAUGUUUUUGCGAAAAGCCAAUUUUACCUACUACAAAGGAAUAUAUUUUAUUUUAACUAUCAUGGUAGUUGAAAACAUUGAGAAUGGUAAAUCCCUAUCUCAAUCCCAAUUAAAAGUAAUUAACAUCCCAACAAAUUAAUUUAGAGUAAUGAGAUCCACAUGAUAAUUCAAGAACCAGACACUCAAGAUGUCCAUAACCGGGGACACGACUAACCAUGAUUAGUUUAUACACUCUGCAGAGGUUUGCACACUUUUCCCCACAAGACUCGAUCUCCUCCGUUGGAAUUCUCGCAUUGCAUGGUGUUUGAGAAACGGAUGACCGAGACACAGUCUUUCCGAAGAGGUCCCUUAACCGAUAGAUAGGCCGGUACACCUACAAUCCACUACAUCUGCUAGCCCAUCAUGGAAAGGUUUCCCAGAACUUACUCAACUAUGCCAGAGCCCAUAAUGGCUUGUGGCUGCACACGGAAGUUUCCAGCAUGAAUAAUCUUAUGAUCCCUUUGAGUCUGGGUGGCGAACCAAAAAGGACAGCACUGGUAUAUCCCCAGGUGCCCGCAACCAAUCCACCGAGAUGUGUGUUUAAGUAGCCACCUUAAGUAAACCAUUAAUUAAUAACCUCACAUCUGUCAUGGAUACACUCAAACCCAAUCCACGUCUACGAGCAUAGUGUGGCAAUAAGCAUAACAUAGAAGUAACUCCCAAGGUUUGAUAAUAAAAGGGCAAUUGGUUCUACCUCAUUAUCUACUUCCCAAACCCACAAGUUAAGAGAUCCUACUGAUGCAAUGUUUGAGGGUUGUAACUAAUGCAUAAAAACUGGGUAAAAGGGAUAUGAUAAAAGUGUUACUUGCCUUGCUGAUGAUCCGCAAAACCUAGUGACUCGUAGUAGAACGUUGCGCACUCCGGGAAUUCUAGCGCAAACAAACAAUAGCAUACAUAGACACUCAAGCAUAGAUGCAAGGGGAAACUUCUAAUAAGAAGAUUGAAUCUAAAAACUCAACUGAAGAGAUUCAAUCUGCAAAAAGAAACAAUCGAGUCGGAGCUACGGAACCGAAACAAUGGUCAAAAAACAUCAAAAACAAAUCUGCUUGAAACCAAAUUUUAAAUUUUCAAAACCUUGUUCAAGUUGACUAAACAGAAAUAGGGUUUCGAGAUGAAGAUUUUGGCGUUGGUUUCACUGUAUUUCGACAAACGGUUAAGAAACGACGAGUGUUUGAAGAUCAGGGGCUAAUCUGCGAUAAAAAUAAUUGCGGAUAGGUCCCUGGUCGAAAAUAAAAUAAAAGGAAAAGACUAACGAACGAACGUUCGUUGUCUGAACCUACCCGGCGAACAACGUUCGUUAAAACGAACGAACGGACGAACGUCCGCUAAAUAAAUAAACCGACAAAAACCGAUCUAAUAAAAUUAACCGCAAAACUAAAAAACAACAACCGUUCAACGGCGGUGGCGGGCGGCGCGGCGGCGGCAGGGCGUGGCAAUGGCGGCGGCUGGCGGCGGCUAGGGUUUGGAGCGGCGACGGCUAGGGUUUGGGCAGCCUCGCCUCGCCUUAUAAAGGACCGGGCGAAAGUGUCAUGUUCGGACACGGCCCAUUAAGGCGGUUCGCGUUUUUAACAGAUUUCGUCGGAAAAAUCCUAAUAAAUAAAAUAAAAAUAUAAAAAUGCCAAAACAAAUUUUCGUUGUCUUAAUAAAAUAUUUAGAACAUGAUGAACAUUUUCUUGGCCUAAAAUGCAAUUUUGAAACAUGCAUAUUUUUCUAAUUCAAAUAAAAUAGUUAUAAAAUCCAAAUAAAAUAAUUUAUUUGAUUUUAAUAAUUUUCCAAUAUUUCAAUUACUUUGGAGAAGUCAUAUUAUCUCCUCUCAUAUAUUUUUAAUAUUGGAAAUAUUAUUUGGAGAGAAAAAUAAUUAAAACCAAAUUGAUCCACUUUUCAAUAUUUGAGAAAAAUUCAAAUAUGAAAACAAUAAAAUCCCCAAUUCUCCCCGUGGGUCCUUGAGUUGCUUAGGAUUUUGGGAUCACAAAGCCAAAAUGCAAAAUAAAUAUGAUAUGCAUAUGAUGUCCUGUGUAUAACAUAACAAAUUUGAAAUUUGGGAUGUUACAAACCUACCCCCUUAAGGUGAAUCUCGCCCUCGAGAUUCAGGUUGGCUAGAAAAUAGGUGUGGGUGGUCUUUCCAUAGAUCAUCCUCUCGUUCCCAAGUGGCUUCAUCCUUGGUAUGAUGGCUCGACUGAACUUUGCAAAACUUGAUAACCUUACUACGUGUAACUCGGCUGGCAAACUUGAGAAUCUUGACAGGUUUCUCCUCAUAGGUCAGAUCACUAUCCAACUGAAUUGCUUCCAGGGGCACUGUAUCUCUCAGAGGAAUAUCGGCCAUCUCACCAUGACACUUCUUCAACUGGGAAACGUGAAACACAUCAUGAACUCCUGACAGUCCUUCGGGUAAUUCCAACUUGUAGGCCACUUCUCCCAUACGUUCCAAAACUUGGUAUGGUCCUACAAAUCUCGGGGCUAACUUUCCCUUAACUCCAAAACAUUUAACUCCUCGCAGAGGUGACACCCGAGGAUAUGCUCUAUCUCCAAUUUCAUAGACUACCUCCUUGCGUUUUGAGUCUGCAUAACUUUUCUGCCUGGACUGAGCUACCUUCAGUCUAUCUCGAAUCAACUUAACCUUCCCUUCUGACUAUUUGAUCAAAUCCGGUCCAAACAACUGACGGUAUCCAACUUCAUCCCACAUCAAUAGCGUUUUGCACCUCCUUCCAUACAGGGCUUCGAAAGGUGCCAUCCUCAAACUGGCUUGGUAACUGUUGUUGUAAGAAAACUCUGUGUAGGGAAAAUUAUCAUCCCAACUAGAUCCAUAAUCUAGCACACAAGAUCUCAACAUGUCCUUCAGAAUCUGAUUGACUCUCUCAGUCUGUCCAUUUGUCUGUGGAUGAAAAGUUGUACUGAACUCUAGCCUGGUGCCCAGAGUCUGGUGCAGCUGGUGCCAAAAUUUUGAAGUAAACUGUGUUCCUCUAUCUGAUACAAUAGUCCUCAGAACUCCAUGCAGACAUACGAUCCUGGUCAUGUAUAUCUUGGCCAACUUAGCACUGGUAUAGGUGGUUUUCACUGGGAUAAAGUGAGCCACUUUGGUCAAGCGAUCCACUACUACCCAAAUAGAAUAGUAUCCCGAUCGUGUCCUGGGUAAUCCGGUGAUAAAAUCCAUGCCAAGCUUAUCCCACUUCCACUCGGGUAUCGGCAUAGGCUGCAGUAAUCCUGCUGGCUUCUGAUGUUCUGCCUUCAGUCUCUAACAUACAUCACAUACGGCUACAUACUCGAUAAUGUCCUUCUUCAUACCCGUCCACCAGAAACGCUCCUUCAAAUCCAAAUACAUCUUGGUGUUUCCGGGGUGUAUCGAGUAUGGUGAGUCGUGAGCUUCCUGGAGUAUUAACUUUCCGAUCUCUACAUUAUUGGGCACAUAUAUACGGUCCUCAAACCACAAGGUGUCAUGCUCAUCCUCACGAAAACCUUUGGCAUUUCCUUUGCUCAUCUUCUCCUUUAUCUCAGCAAUUUCCUUAUCAUCCUUCUAAGCUUCUCAGAUUUUUCCCAAUAAUGUUGACUGAACUUCCAAUGUUGCAACAAAAAUCUCUAGGGACUAUCUUCGAACGUAGAUCCCUAAGAUCUUCAGCUAACUUAGUUGGCAAUCCUCCGCUUACGAGGGUAUUGGCGUAACUCUUCCGGAUCAAAGCGUUGCUACGACAUUGGCCUUGCCUAGAUGAUAGUGCAACUUCAUAUCGUAAUCCUUAAUAAGCUCCAACCAUCUCCUUUGCCUGAGAUUCAGCUCCUUCUGCGUGAAAAUGUACUUCAAACUCUUAUGAUCCGUGUACACAUCACAAUGGUUUCCAAUAAGAAAAUGUCUCCAGGUUUUGAGAGCAUGCACUACGGCCGCUAACUCCAAAUCAUGUGUGGCAUAAGUCAACUCAUGCGGUUGAAGCUGUCAUGAGGCAUAUGAAACAACUCUUUCGUCUUGCAUAAGCACGCCUCCAAGUCCUAGGCGAGACGCGCCGCAAUACACUUGGAAAUCCCUACGUACAUCUGGCAGAAUCAGGACUGGGGAUAUAGUCAAUCGUUUCUUCAACUCCUGAAACUUGCCUCACAUUCAUCUGUCCAUUUGAACUUGGUGUCCUUCUUCAACAACUCUGUCAUGGGCUUUGCAAUCUUAGAGAAAUUCUCAAUGAAUCUCCGAUAAUAUCCCGCGAGUCCUAGAAAACUACAGAUCUCUCCAACUGAGGUGGGUGCCAAACACUCAGUGACCGACUGAACCUUAGUAGGGUCUACUGCUAUACAUUCUCUUGAUAUAACAUGUCCAAGGAAUCCAACUUCCUUAAACCAAAACUCACAUUUUCUUAAGUUAGCGUAUAACUGAUGUUCCCUGAGCUUCUUGAGAACUAAACGCAAAUGCUCCUUAUGCUCUUUUUCAUUCUUCGAGUAUACCAAAAUGUCAUCAAUGAACACCAUAACAAACUUAUCCAAGAACUCCAUAAACACCUUGUUCAUCGUACUCAUGAAAUAGGCAGGGGCGUUAGUCAAUCUGAAUGACAUAACCAUGUACUCAUACAGCAUGUACCUUGUGGUGAAAGUUGUCUUAGGUAUAUCCUGUUCUCGAAUCUUCAGCUGGUGGUACCCUGAUCGUAAAUCGAUCUUGGAAAAUACUUUAGCUCCUUGUAGCUGGUCAAAAAAAUCAUUGAUCAUCGGAAGUGGGUACUUGUUCUUGAUCGUCACUUCAUUCAAUGCAUGAUAAUCAACAACCAUUCUUAGAGAUUUAUCCUUCUUCUCAACCAAGAGCACUGGGGCUCCCCAUGGUGACGAACUUCGUCGAAUGUAACCUUUCUCCAGUAACUCCUUAAUUUGUUUCUUAAUCUCCUCCAGAUCAUUUGCCGGCAUCCGGUAUGGCAAUAACUCUAUCAAAAACUCAAUGUCUCGAUCCGGGGGUAUGCCUGGUAGUUCCUCUAGAAAUACAUCCGGGUAAUCCUUCACUACAUGCACUUCUUCCUAAGCAACUCCUGUGAGGGAAUUUAUGUGAGUACUCUUAGGAGUAUGCCUGGAUACAUACUUAAUCCUUUUUUCCUCCGGUGUGGUGAGUAGAAUUGACCUACUGGCGCAUUCAAUGUUUCCUCCAUACUUUGAUAGCCAAUCCAUACCGAGUAUCACAUCCAAGCCUUUGGAUUCCAAAAUUAUUAAGUCUGAGGGGAAAACAUGCCUACCUAUGGUCAAUGGCAUCUAAAAACAUCCACUGCUUGCCAUAUACUCUGCUCCGGGUGAGCUUACUAACAUAGGUGUCUUAAGAACUUGGGUGGGCAACUUAUACUUAUCCACGAAUCCCCUUGAUAUGUAUGAAUGCGAUACACCAGUAUCAAAAAGAACUAUUGCGGUAAAUGACUUAACCAAAAACUUAACGAUAACUGCAUCUGGCUGCUCCUCAACCUCCUCCACAUUCACGUGGUUCACUUGUCCCUUGUUGAAAGGGUUGGGCUUCUUCCCAGAGCUUCCAUUGCCAUUUCCAUUCUUGAGUUCAGGGCACUCAUUGGCAUAGUGUCCAGUCUUCCUGCACUUGAGACAAGUAACGUGGCUUUGGUCCUUCUUGGCGGGUAUGCUUGGGUUAGAGCGGUUCUGACUGCUUCCAUUACCAUUACCAUUCCUAGGGCCAUUGUGGUUAUGUGAACUUCCUCCAUUGUGAGUGUGUCCUCCAUCAUUAUGGGUAAAUCCUCCCGGGUUCGGGGUGAAACGGGGUUUCUGCUGAGCUCCUGAAUUGUAUUUCCCUUGUCCAUACUUCCUUCUGCGGCUCUCAAUCUGCUGCUGCUUCCUUUCAAUCAUAAGAGCCUUAUCUACCAACUCAUGGUAGUUGGUGAAUGUUGCCACCAUCAACUGCAUACUCAUCUCUUCAUUCAACCCUUCCAUAAACUUCUCCUGCUUCGCGGCAUCUAUGGCCACAUCAUCUGGGGCAUAACGAGCUAGCUUGCUAAACUCCUCCAUGUACUGCCCUACAGUACGGUUGCCCUGGCGUAAGUUGUGAAACUCACGCUUCUUCAUGCUCAUAGCUCCAGUUGAGACAUGAGCAGUGCGGAAUGCUUGCUGAAAUUGCUCCCAAGUAACAUUGGCUAUGGGGAAGGUGGUUGUGUAAUUCUCCCACCAUGCGGCUUCAGGUCCAUCCAAUUGGUGUGCGGCAAAACGCACCUUCUCAGCAUCUGCGCAACCUGCGGUGGUUAACUCCCUUCCAAUCCUGCGUAGCCAGUCAUCCGCAACUAUGGGAUCGGUGCUACUAUAAAACACCGGUGGUUGUAACCUCAGAAAACGGGAUAAGUUGUCAACUAGAGGUGGUGGCGGUGGGUUGUUGUUAUUGUUAUUGUUGUUGCCUUGAUUCUGGACUAGCAACUGCAUCAGUGUAUUCUGUUGUUGGAUCAACUGAGUGAGCUCCAGUGGGAAGGCAAAUCCGAGGUCAUGUCUCGGAGGCAUCUGGUGGGUUUUAGAGGGGAGAGAUUAGAAUAGAAUGAGGUCUAAUGAGAAAGCACUGCCCAUAUGCACAUGAGACAAACACAAUCAAUAUCACUCCAAAACAAUAUCAAGCAAGGUCAUGCAAUCGAUCUAACUAUCGUUACAGUGCUCGGACUACUAAUAUAUACAUGGGGGAAUACUACUAAUAAUAUGGUGGUCUACUAGAAAUUUUGAUCGGUAGAAGACUCCAUGAUAUCUGCUCCAGCUUCGUCUUCAUAGUCAUCAUCACUGGGGUCGGAGUCGGUGUCGUUGAUGAUGAUGUAGUCCUUAGGGUGGUCAUCAUCUCCUCCUGGCACAGGGUCUCCCAUGAAUACUCCUAACUUCCUUGUCAGGUCAUCAUUCAUCUCCACUAGUACGGUGAUUUCCUCCUUGUAUUCGUUGUGUGUAGACUUGAGUUCCUCUUCCAGCUCCAUGUUCCUAGUCAUCAACUUCUUCAGAUCUAUCAUGCUUGCACACAUCUGGUUCUCCUGGCGACGAAUGUGAUGAUUUAACUCCUAGAUGAAGGCUGCAAUGGACCUUUCCUUCCUGGUGCUGAUCAUCUCCCAUUGCUCAUCUCGACACCCACAUAUCUGGUAGAUGGUGUCCUUAAGUUCCUUGUGAUAAACUUCGCCGAUGCAUCCCAUGGCAAUGUGGGCUGCCAUGAUCUUGCCUAGACUCCAGGUUGGUGCAUCAAAGGAAAACUCUAUGGGCUCAGUGACCGGCGUGAAUGUCCUUCCUGGAACUUGAACUCGAAUCAUCCAAUGCUCCUCUUCUCGUAAAGUGGUGGUGUAGGUCCCGAUGAAGCUUGGUAUUCCAAUGUUCAGGUACCUAGUGACUUCCUUCAAGUGUCGUCCAAAAGGUGUGUCUUCAUCCGGCUGUGUGAACUUAUUCCUUGUGUCCGCCAUUGUAACACCCAUGAUGCGGCUAUAUCUCCCACAUGUCGGAGCACGAUUUAGAGGCAUAACCGCAUAGUAGGCAUGUCGCAAGAGGGGUAAUCUUUACACAUCUCAUGUACUGAAUAAGAAAGGGAUAAAGAGAUGGCUUACACUCGCCACUUCACACAAUAUAUAAAUAUAGCAUUACAUCAUCCAGAAUACAAUCAAGGUCCGACUACGGAACCAAAAUAAAGAAAGACAACCCCUAAUGCUAGGUCCCUGAUCGUCCCAACUGGGCUCCACUCCUGAUCAAAAGGAAAUGAAACACAACAAUGAAAAGGUCUUCAUGGAGCUCCCGCUUGAGCUCAGUUGCGUCACCUGCACUGGUAUCAUCGGCACCUGCAAACUGUUGGUAAGUAAUCUGUGAGUCAUGGGGACUUAGCAAUCUCACACCCUCGCGAUCAAGACUAUUUAAGAUUAAGGGGUGAAAAGGUAGUGAGUUGGAGCUGCAGCAAGCACUAGCAUAUAUGGUGGCUAACUUACUCAAAUGAGAGCGAGAAGAGAAGCAAAGCACGGUCGUGAACUAGAAGUGAUCAAGAAGUGAUCCUGAAACUACUUACGUUCAAGCAUAACAAAUUCCCAUCACGGCUACACACGCCGUUGAUGCAUUUUAGUUAAAGUUAAGUGUCAAGUUCUCUACAACCGGAUAUUAACAAAUUACCAUCUGCCCAUAACCGCGGGCACGACUUUCGAAAGUUCAUAACCCUGCAGGGGUGUCCCAACUUAGCCCAUCACAAGCUCUCAUGGUCAACGAAGGAUAUUCCUUCUCCCAGGAAGACCCGAUCAGAUUCGGAAUCCCGGUUACAAGUCAUUUCGACAAUGGUAAAACAAGACCAGCAAAGCCGCCCGAUGUGCCGACAAAUCCCGAUAGGAGCUGCACAUAUCUUGUUCUCAGGGCACACCGGAUGAGCAGUCCGUACAACUAAAACCAACCCUCAAGUUUCCCCGAGGUGGCGCUGCAAGGGGCUCUAGUUUGGACCAACACUCAGAGGAGCACUGGCCCGGGGGUUUAAACUAAAGACGACCCUUGAGUCUGCAGAACCCAAGGGAAAAAGGCUUAGGUGGCAAAUGGUAAACCCAAGGUUGGCCUUGCUGGAGGAGUUUUAUUAAAGGUGAAUUGUCAAGGGGUUCCCAUUAUAACCCAACCGCGUAAGGAACGCGAAAUCAAGGAACAUAACACCGGUAUGACGGAAACUAGGGCGGCAAGAGUGGAACAAAACACCAGGCAUAAGGUUGAGCCUUCCACCCUUUACCAAGUAUAUAGAUGCAUUAAAGUAAACAAGAUAUAAUAAUAAUGAUAUCCCAACAAUAAUCAUGUUCUAACAAGGAACAAAAUCCAUCUUCACCUGCAACUAGCAAUGCUAUAAGAGGGGCUGAGCAAAGUGGUAACAUAGCCAAACAACGGUUUGCUAGGAAAGGUGGGUUAGAGGCUUGACAUGGCAAUAUGGGAGGCAUGAUAUAGAAAGUGGUAGGUAUCGCGGCAUAGCAAAAGAGAGAACAACUAGCAAGCAAUGAUAGAAGUGAUAUCGAGGAUAUGGUCAUCUUGCCUGAGAUCCCGCAAGGAAGAAGAACGAGUCCAUGAAGAAGACAAACGGACGUAGUCGAACGGAUCCUCACAAACGUGACGUUAUCGGAACUAACCCGAAGAAGCAACAGCGGAAAGAAGCAAACAACAUAGUAAACAACCAUCACAUAAUCAUGGCAUGAUGCACCACCAAGUAUGACGCAUGUCCGAUUUAAAGAGGCAUGGCAUGGCAAAGUACAACAAACAACACUACAAGUUAAGUGGAGCUCAAUAUGCAACGAGUAGCAUAUUGACGAAACACCACAACAAUUAUUUAGUUCGAUCUCGUUUAUGUACCCCAACAAUAUUAAAUGUUGAUUAACAUGGCAAGAGGUGAAGCACAACAAAACUACCUAUCUAGGCAAGUUUAAAUGAGGCCGGAAACAACGAACAACAAUCCCGGUAAAUCCCCAUAUGCAUAUUUUUAGGUUUGGUACUGAUCUGCCCUAAACCAAAUUUUAGAGUUGUUAAACAUGCAAAGUAAGUACACCAUGAUAAACUAGGCAUUUUUCUACCCCAUUUACAUAUAAAGUUUAUUUAAAACCGAGCUACGACGAAGUAGUUAUGAAAUAAAUCAUUUAACAAGUUAUUUAAGAAAAUUUAAACAAACAGCAUUUUAAACAUUUUAAACAUAGAUGAAAGUUGGAUAUUAUUAAACUAGAUGAAAUUAUAAGCAUUUUUCAUCUAAGGUUUAUUUAAAUCUGAUGCACGGUUAAUUAGUUAUUAUAUGCAUGACAACUAGGGGUUUUUCUAUAAAAACUACAGUCUCUGGAAAUUAGCUAAACAUCCAGAACGAAAAAAAAGACAUGGGCCGAAACUGGUGAGCGCAGGACAAUAUGCAGCGCCCAGGGCGUCACAUAACAAACAGGGGGGUGGGCUGGCUUGUGCUCACCUCACGGGCCUUGGGGCCACCGGAUCUGGUGGGUUGAGCCUGCAGCAAGGCGCGGGGCGGCUGGGCCACGCGCGAGGAGGAAAGCGGGGCCGAGCGGGCCUUGGACAGGGAGGAGGCCAAGGCGGGCCCACACGGGCGUGCUUUCAUCCUCGUACGCAACAGACGACGCAGGAGGCAGGGGUCAACGGUGGCGGCGCGAUACGACUGGGGCUCGCCGGAUCCGCGAGUGAAGGCGUCGGGGCGGCCAGAUCCGAGCACGGGAGGUCUUCGGGGUUCCGUUCCCGGCCAGAUCGAGAAGAAUCAAAUCACCAGGGCGGCGAGCUCGUGUGAUGGAUACAGAGAGAUAUCAAGAUGUGAGGAGGAGAAAUAAAAAAUGGAGGACGGGAGAGGAAGACGGCAGGGGCGAGGCGGCCUGGUCCGCUACUGUGGUGGCCGGCGGCGACGUCUCCGGUGGUCGGCCAGCGCGAGGGAGACGAGGUGAGAAGGAGGCGCUCGGGUGAAGGGGUCGAACGACGGGAAGAGCGGGCGGCGACGCGGUUCGACGUAGAUGGGCUUCCAGUGCCCCGAUCUGGGUUCCGCGGGCCCUGCGCGAGGUGGGGGGACAAGGGCGCGUGGUUGGCGGCUCAGGUGGCGGCGUGGCCGGUGGCUGCGUGCCAAGUGGCGGUGGGCUAGUGGGGAAGAAGGGCUAGGGGUAGGUUUUAGACUAGGAUUAGUCCGAAAAUGGACUAGGGGGUCUAUAUAUAGCAGGUUUUGCUAGGGUUUGGGUCUAGGGGGGUUUCGGAGCCUCCGAUCGCGAUCCCACGGCUCCGGACGCGAGGAGGGGUAGGUUUGAGCUUGUGGGCUGUGCAAAAGGCCUCGGGCUGAGAGGAGAGAAGAGAGAGAGAGUCCCGGCGUCUGUUUCUAGAGACCAAAAACGUAUGACAUUUGACCGACUAUAUUGUUGCGAUAGUUAAUCGUUGGGGCAUCAAACGGACUCCGAAUGCGAUGAAACUUGGCAGGCGGCCUACCUACAACAAAACAAGUCCGCACGCCAACUUUCAACCCAAUCCGAGAACAUUUUCUGGCCACUUAUAAAAUACUAUUUUGGACAUGCCGCGGGCGCGUGCAAGUGUGUCUGGGCUCCGAACGUGACAACGGAAGGAACUAGGAGACCCGGAAUAAUGCAAGUUCGAAAACAUGAUGAUGCAAUGCACAUGACGACAUGAUGAAAUGCAACACGCAAGCAAAUGACAAGGCAACAACAAUGAAUAACUGGAAGACACCUGGCGCAUCGGUCUCGGGGCAUCACGGCCAUCCUAUAGAGUAGAAAAUGGAGAGGAGUUGGAAAUGAGUAGAGAAGAGUGACCUAUGGCUCAUCUUAGUGGUCGUGUCCUACAUUCAGCGUGUGCUCUGAUACCAUCUUGCAGCAAUCCGACCUCAAACGGUCAAAUCUCUGUGCAUAAGUGUCAUGCCUGGAUCGGUAUUGCUGACACACAUAGUACUUGAAGGAUUUAUAACGGAGUAGCAAUCACACACUUAUUACAUCGGAUGUCUCAAAAGAGAACUUAUUACAAUAAAUAUGGCUUAAGGCCAUCUAAGUAAGAUAACAAUGGAAGGCUUGGUAGAUAAAGUGAGUCCAUCAACUCCAACGACAUAGCUGAGUGCACGACAAACGACCUAGCGCACCUUACUCUUCGUAUAAAAAGUCUGCAACAUGAUAUGUUGCAGCCCGAAACGGGUCAGCACAUGGAAUAUGCUGGCAAGAAAACACACUAGAGCAAUGAACAAGUAAAUGCUAUCACUGCAUGCAUGUAUGGCUGGUGGAGGCUCUAUGCUUAUAAUGUUUUUGCGAAAAGCCAAAUUUUCCCUACUACAAAGGAAUAUAUUUUAUUUUAACUAUCAUGGUAGUUGAAAACAUUGAGAAUGGUAAAUCCCAAUCUCAAUCCCAAUUAAAAGUAAUUAACAUCCCAACAGAUUAAUUUAGAGUGAUGAGAUCGACAUGAUAAUUCAAGAACCAGAUACUCAAGAUGUCCAUAAUCGGGGACACGACUAACCAUGAUUAGUUUACACACUCUGCAUAGGUUUGCACACUUUUCCCCACAAGACUCGAUCUCCUCCGUUGUAAUUCUCGCACUGCGUGGUGUUUGAGAAACGGAUGACCGAGACACAGUCUUUCCGAAGAGGUCCCUUAACCGAUAGAUAGGCCGGUACACCUACAAUCCCCUACAUCUGCUAGCCCAUCAUGGAAAGGUUUCCCACAACUUACUCAACUAUGUCAGAGCCCAUAAUGGCUUAUGGCUGCACAUGGAAGUUUCCAGCAUGAAUAAUCUUAUGAUCCCUUUGAGCCUAGGUGGCGAACCAAAAAGGACAGCAUUGGUAUAUCCCCAGGUGCCCGCAACCAAUCCACCCAGAUGUGUGUUUAAGUAGCCACCUUAAGUAAACCAUUAAUUAAUAACCUCACAUCUGUCAUGGAUACACUCAAACCCAAUCCACGUCAAUGAGCAAAGCAUGGCAAUAAGCAUAACGUAGAAGUAACUCCCAGGGUUUGAUAAUAAAAGGGCAAUUGGUUCUACCUCAUCAUCUACUUCCAAAACCCACAAGUUAAGAGAUCCUACUCGUGCAAUGUUUGAGGGUUGUAACUAAUGCAUAAAAAGUAGGUAAAAGGGAUAUGAUCAAAGUGUUACUUGCCUUGCUGAUGAUCAGCAAAAACUAGUGACUCGUAGUAGCACGCUGCGCACUCCGGGAAUUCUAGCACAAACAAACAAUAGCAUACAUAGGCACUCAAGCAUAGAUGCAAGGGGAAACUUAGAAUAUGAAGAUCGAAUCUGAAAACUCAACUAAAGAGAUUCAAUCUGCAAAAAGAAACAAUUGAAUCGGAGCUACAGAACUAAAACUAUGGUCAAAAAAACAUCAGAAACAAAUCUUCUUGAAACCAAAUUUUAAUUUGUCAAAACCUUGUUCAAGUUGACUAAACAGAAAGACGGUUUCCAGACGAAGAUUUUGGCGUUGGUUUCACUGGAUUUGGACAAACGGUUAAGAAACGGCGAGUGUUUGAAGAUCAGGGGCCAAUCUGUGAUAAAAAUAAUCGUGGAUAGGUCCCUGGCCGAAAAUAAAAUAAAAGGAAAAGACUAACGAACGAACGUUCGUAGUCCGAAUCUAACCGGCGAACAAUGUUCGUUAAAACGAACGAACAGAAGAACGUCUGCUAAAUAAAUAAACUGACGAAAAACCGAUCUAAUAAUAUAAACCAUCGGGAGGGCAGAUCUGGAGUCCGUUCGGGGCUCCGGAGAAGGGGAUUCGUCACCAUCAUCACCACCAACCUUCCUCCAUCACCAAUUUCAUGAUGCUCACCGUCAUGCGUGAGUAAUUCCAUCAUAGACAUGCUGGACGGUGAUGGGUUGGUUGAGAUUUAUCAUGUAAUCGAGUUAGUUUUGUUAGGAUUUGAUCUCUAGUAUCCACUAUGUUCUGAGAUUGAUGUUGCUAUGACUUUGCUAUGCUUAAUGCUUGUCACCAGGGCCCGAGUGCCAUGAUUUCAGACCUGAACCUAUUAUGUUUUCAUGAAUAUAUUUGUGUUCCUGAUCCUAUCUUGCAAGUUGUAGACACCUACUAUGAGUUAUGAUCCGCAUACCCCAAGGUGAUAAUAAUUGGGUGUAGCGAUCCAACCUCAAACGAUCAAAUCUCUAUGGAUAAGUGUCAUUCCUGGAUCGGUAAUGCUGACAUACACAGUACUUGAAGGACUUAUAAUAGAGUAGCAAUCACACACUUAUUACAUCGAAUGUCUCAAAAGAGAACUUAUUACAAUAAAUAUGGCUUAAGGCCACCUAAGUAAGAUAACAGCGGAAGGCUUGGUAUAUAAAGUGAGUCCAUCAACUCCAACGACAUAGCUAAGUGCGCAAAAAAUGACCUAGCACACCUUACUCUUCGUCUGAAAAGUCUGCAACAUGAUAUGUUGCAGCCCGAAACGGGUUAGCACAUGGAAUAUGCUGGCAAGAUAACACGGUACAGCAAUGAACAAGUAAAUGUUAUCACUGCAUGCAUAUGGCUGGUGGAGGCUCUAUGCUUAUAAUGUUUUUGGGAAAAGCCAAAUUUUCCCUACUACAAAGGAAUAUAUUUUAUUUUAACUAUCAUGGUAGUUGAAAACAUUGAGAAUGGUAAAUCGCCAUAUCAAUCCCAAUUAAAAGUAAUUAACAUCCCAACAGAUUAAUUUAGAGUGAUGAGAUCCACAUGAUAAUUCAAGAACCAGAUACUCAAGAUGUCCAUAACCGGGGACACGGCUAACCAUGAUUAGUUUAUACACUUUGCAUAGGUUAGCACACUUUUCCCCGCAAGAUUCGAUCUCCUCCGUUGUAAUUCUCGCACUUCAUGGUGUUUCAGAAAUGGAUGACCGAGACACAGUCUUUCCGAAGAGGUCCCUUAACCGAUAGAUAGGCCGGUACACCUACAAUCCCCUACAUCUGCUAGCCCAUCAUGGAAAGGUUUCCCACACCUUACUCAACUAUGCCAGAGCCCAUAAUGGCUUGUGGCUGCACACGGAAGUUUCCGACAUGAAUAAUCUUAUGAUCCCUUUGAACCUGGGUGGCGAACCAAAAAGGACAGCACUGGUAUAUCCCCAGGUGCCCGCAACCAAUCCACCCAGAUGUGUGUUCAAGUAGCCACCUUAAGUAAACCAUUAAUUAAUAACCUCACAUCUGUCAUGGAUACACUCAAACCCAAUCCACGUCUACGAGCAUAGCAUGGCAAUAAGCAUAACGUAGAAGUAACUCCCAGGGUUUGAUAAUAAAAGGGCAAUUCAUUCUACCUCAUCAUCUACUUCCCAAACCCACAAGUUAAGAGAUCCUACUCAUUUAAUGUUUAAGGUUUGUAACUAAUGCAUAAACAUUGGGUAAAAGGGAUAUGAUGGAAGUGUUACUUGCCUUGCUAAUCAUCCGCAAAACCUAGUGACUCGUAGUAGCACGCUGCGCACUCCGGGAAUUCUAGCGCAAACAAACAAUAGCAUACAUAGGCACUCAAGCAUAGCUGCAAGGGGAAACUUCGAAUAAGAAGAUCAAAUCUUAAAACUCUACUGAAGAGAUUUAAUCUGCAAAAAGAAACAAUCGAAUCGGAGCUACAGAACUGAAACUACGGUCAAAAAAACAUCAAAAACAAAUCUGCUUGAAACCAAAUUUUAAUUUGUCAGAACCUUGUUCAAGUUGACUAAGCAGAAAGAUGGUUUCCAGACAAAGAUUUUGGCGUUGGUUUCACUGGAUUUGGACAAACGGUUAAGAAACGGCGAGCGUUUGAAGAUCAGGGGCUAAUAUGUGAUAAAAAUAAUCGCAGAUAAGUCCCUGGCCGAAAAUAAAAUAAAAGGAAAAGACUAACGAACGAACGUUCGUAGUCUGAACCUAACCGGCGAACAACGUUCGUUAAAACGAACGAACAGGCAAACGUCCGCUAAAUAAAUAAACCGACGAAAAACCAAUCUAAUAAAAUAAACCAUCGGGAGGGCUGAUCUCGAGUUCGUUCGGGGCUCCGGAGAGGGGGAUUCGUCGCCACCAUCACCACCAACCUUCCUCCAUCACCAAUUUCAUGAUGCUCGCCGUCAUUCGUGAGUAAUUCCAUCAUAGACAUGUUGUACGGUGAUGGGUUGGAUGAGAUUUAUCAUGUAAUCGAGUUAGUUUUGUUAGGGUUUGAUCCCUAGUAUCCACUAGGGCCCGAGUGCCAUGAUUUCAUAUCUGAACCUAUUAUGUUUUCAUGAAUAUAUUUGUGUUCCUGAUCCUAUCUUGCAAGUUGUAGACACCUACUAUGAGUUAUGAUCUGCAUACCCCAAGGUGAUAAUAAUUGGGUGUAGCGAUCCGACCUCAAACGGUCAAAUCUCUGUGCAUAAAUGUCAUCCCUGGAUCGGUAAUGCUGACAUACAUAGUACUUGAAGGAUUUAUAACGGAGUAGCAAUCACACACUUAUUACAUCGAAUGUCUCAAAAGAGAACUUAUUACAAUAAAUAUGGCUUAAGGCCAUCUCAGUAAGAUAAUAGCGGAAGGCUUGGUAGAUAAAGUGAGUCCAUCAACUCCAACGACAUAGCUGAGUGCACGACAAACAACCUAGCACACCUUACUCUUCGUUUGAAAAGUCUGCAACAUGAUAUGUUGCAGACCGAAAUGGGUCAGCACACGAAAUAUGCUGGCAACAUAACACAGUAGAGCAAUGAACAAGUAAAUGCUAUCACUACAUGCAUAUAUGGCUGGUGGAGGCUCUAUGGUUAUAAUGUUUUUGCGAAAACCCAAUUUUUCCCUACUACAAAGGAAUAUAUUUUAUUUUAACUAUCAUGGUAGUUCAAAACAUUGAGAAUGGUAAAUCCCCAUCUCAACCCCAAUUAAAAGUAAUUAACAUCCCAACAAAUUAAUUUAGAGUGAUGAGAUCCACAUGAUAAUUCAAGAACCAGAUACUCAAGAUGUCCAUAACCGGGGACAUGACUAACCAUGAUUAGUUUAUACACUCUGCAGAGGUUUGUGCACUUUUUCCCACAAGACUCGAUCUCCUCCGUUGGAAUUCUCGCACUGCAUGGUGUUUGAGAAACGGAUGACCGAGACACAGUCUUUCUGAAGAGGUCCCCUUAACCGAUAGAUAGGCCGGUACACCUACAAUCCCCUACAUCUGCAGCCCAUCAUGGAAAGGUUUCCCACAACUUACUCAACUAUGCUAGAGCCCAUAAUGGCUUGUGGCUGCACACGGAAGUUUCCAGCAUGAAUAAUCUUAUGAUCCCUUUGAGCCUGGGUGGCGAACCAAAAAGGACAUCACUGGUAUAUCCCCAGGUGCCCGCAACCAAUCCACCCAUAUGUGUGUUUAAGUAGCCACCUUAAGUAAACCAUUAAUUAAUAACCUCACAUCUGUCAUGGAUACACUCAAACCCAAUCCACGUCUACGAGCAUAGCAUGGCAAUAAGCAUAACGUAGAAUUAACUCCCAGGGUUUGAUAAUAAAAGGGCAAUAGGUUCUACCUCAUCAUCUACUUCCCAAACCCACAAGUUAAGAGAUCCUACUCAUGCAAUGUUUGAGGGUUGUAACUAAUGCAUAAAAACUGGGUAAAAGGGAUAUGAUCAAACUGUUACUUGCCUUGGUGAUGAUCCGUGAAACCUAGUGACUCGCAGUAGCAUGUUGUGCACUCCGGGAAUUUUAGCGCAAACAAACAAUAGCAUACAUAAGCACUCAAGCAUAGAUGCAAGGGUAAAACUUUUAAUAAGAAGAUCGAAUCUGAAAACUCAACUGAAGAUAUUCAAUCAACAAAAAGAAACAAUCGAAUCGGAGCUACAGAACUAAAACUAUGGUCAAAAGAACUUCGAAAACAAAUCUGCUUGAAACCAAAUUUUAAAUUGUAAAAACCUUGUUCAAGUUGAUUAAACAGAAAGAGGGUUUCAAGACGAAGAUUUUAGUGUUGGUUUCACUGGAUUUGGACAAACGGUUAAGAAAUGGCGAGCGUUUGAAGAUAAGGGGUUAAUCUGCGAUAAAAGUAAUCGCGGAUAGGUCCCUGGCCGAAAAUAAAAUAAAAGGAAAAGACUAACGAACGAACGUUCGUAGUCUGAACCUAACCGACGAACAACAUUCGUUAAAACGAACGAACAGACAAACGUCCGCUAAAUAAAUAAACUGGCGAAAAACCGAUCUAAUAACAUAAACCGUGAAACUAAAAAAAUCGGGUUAAACAAACAAACGACCGGUCAACGGCGGCGGCUCCGGCGACGGCGGCGGCAGGCGGCGACGGUGUCGGCAGGCGGAGACGCGGUGGCGGGCGGCUGGAGGCUGGCGGCGGCUAGGGUUUGGGGCGGCCUCGCAUCGCCUUAUAAAGGCACGGGCGGCAGUGUCCUGUUUGGACACAGCCCGUUAAGGCGGUUCGCGUUCUUUUAAACAGAUUUCGCCGGAAAAAUCCUAAUAAAUAAAAUAAAAAUCUAAAAAUGCCAAAAGAAAUUUUCACCAUCUAAAUAAAAUAUUUAGAACAUGAUGAACAUUUUCUUGGCCUAAAAUGCAAUUUUAAAAAAUGCAUAAUUUUCUAAUUCGAAUAAAAUAGCGAUAAAGUCCAAAUAAAAUAAUUUAUUUGAUUUUAAUAAUUUGCCUCCAAUAUUUCAAUUACUUUGGAGAAGUCAUAUUAUCACCUCUCAUGUAUUUUUAAUAUUGGAAAUAUUAUUUGGAGAGAAAAAUAAUUAAAACCAAAUUGAUCCACUUUUCAAUAUUUGAGAAAAAUUCAAAUAUGAAAACAAUAAAAUCCCCAACUCUCUCCAUGGGUCCUUGAGUUGCUUAGGAUUUGGGAAUCACAAAGCCAAAAUGCAAAAGAAAUAUGAUAUGCAUAUGAUGUCCUAUGUAUAUGUAACACCCACGAUGCGGCUAUAUCUCCCAUGUGUCGAGCCACGACUUAGAGGUAUAACCGCAUGGUGGUUUAGUCGCAAGUGGGGUAAUCCUCACGUAAUCCAAUGUAUUGAAUAAGAAAGGGAUAAAGAGUUGGCUUACAAUCACCACUUUACACAAAUAACAAGUUAAACAUACAUCAUCCAGAAUACAAUCAAGGUCCGACUACGGAACCAAAAUAAAAGAAGAAAAGCCCAAUUUCUAGAUCCCUGAUCGUCCCAACUGGGCUCCACUACCGAUCAACCAGAAAAGACACAUAACAAAGAUCAAGAUCUUCAUCGAGCUCCCACUUGAGCUUGGUUGCGUCACCUGCACUGCUAUCAUCGGCACUUGUGACUGUUUGGAAGUAUCUGUGAGUCACGAGGACUCGGCAAUCUCACACCCGUGAGAUCAAGACUAUUUAAGCUUAUGGGUAGGAUAAGGUAAUGUGGUGGAGCUGCAGCAAGCACUAAGAAAAUAUGGUGGCUAACAUACGCAAAUAAGAGCGAGAAAAGAAGCAACGCAACGGACGAGAAGCUAGGAGUGAUCAAGAAGUGAUUCUGAAACUACUUACGCACAAACAUAACACAAGAACCGUGUUCACUUCCAGGACUCCGCCGAAAAGAGACCAUCACGGCUACACACAUAGUUCAUGCAUUUUAAUUAAGUUAAGUGUUAAGCUCUCUACAACUGGACAUUAACAAAUUCCCAUCUGCCACAUAACCGUGGGCAUGGCUUUCGAAAGUUUAUACCCUGCAGGGGUGUCCCAACUUAGCCCAUCACAAGCUCUCACGGUCAACGAAGGAUAUUCCUUCUCCCGGAAAGACCCGAUCAGUCUCGGAAUCCUGGUUACAAGACAUUUUGACAAUGGUAAAACAAGACCAGCAAAGCCACCCGAUGUGUCGACAAUCCCGAUAGGAGUCGCACAUAUAUCGUUCUCAGGACACACCGGAUAGGUCAAGCUACGAGUAAAACCAGCCCUCAAGUUGCCCUGAGGUGGCCCCGCGGGCUGCCCGGUUCGGACCAACACUUAAAGAAGCACUGGCCCGAGGGGUUAAAAUAAAGAUGACCCUCGGGAGCGCGACUCCCAAGGGAAAAGGUAUAGGUUGUUAGACAAAUGUAAAACCAAUGUUGGGCCUUGCUGGAGGAGUUUUAUUCAAAGCGAAUUGUCAAGGGGUUCCCAUAACACACAACCACGUAAGGAACGCAAAAUCAAGGAACAUAACAUCGGUGUGACAAAAACUAGGGCGGCAAGAGUGGAACAAAACACCAGGCAUAAGGCCGAGCCUUCCACCCUUUACCAAGUAUAUAGAUGCAUUCAUCAAAUAAGAGAUAUUGUGAUAUCCCAACAUAUCACCAGCUUCAACUUCACCUGCAACUAGUGAGGGGCUGAGAAAAAGUGGUAACAUAGCCAAACAACAGUUUGCUAGGAAGGUGGGUUAGAGGCUUGACAUGGCAACAUGGGAGGCAUCAUAUAACAAGUGGUAGGUAGCGCGACAUAGCGAUAGAGCGAACAACUAGCAAGCAAAGAUAGAAGUGAUUUCGAGGGUAUGGUCAUCUUGCCUGAAAUCCCGUCAGGAAGAAGAACGAGUCCAAGAAGUAGACGACCCAACGUAGUAGAACAAAUCCUCACAACUCUGGAACAAAACCGAAGCUAACGAGAGAAGCAACCCGGAAAGAAGCAAACAACAUGGUAAACACACAAACAUAACAUGGCAUGAUGCACAAACAAGGAUGAUGCAUGUCCGGUUUAAAUAUGCAUGGCAUGGCAAAGUGAAACAAACAAUACUACAAAUUAAGUGGAGCUCAAUAUGCAACGAGUUGCGUAUUGACGAAACACCACAUCAAUUAUUUAGUUAUCUCUUGUUUAUGUACCCAACAAUAUUAAAUGUUGUUAAACAUGGCAAGAGGUGAGGCAAAAGUAAACUACAUAUUUUAGGCAAUUUAAAUGAGUCCGGAAACAACAAACAACAAUUCCGGUAAAUCCUCAUGUGCAUUAGCAAUUUAAUGCAACAACAAUUUUAAACAUCUUAAAUGUUGUUAUCAUGAUGCGAAUGACAUGUGCAAGUUUUAUGCAAUUUUUGUUAAAAGUUGACAUGAGCAUUAUGAAGCAUUUGUCAUCGUGGCGGAAACGAAAGGGGCACCACGACAACGAUAAUGGAAAUGGUGUCACGCCAACAUUCCAGUUCCAGUAACUCGAUUGAGAUUCUGGUGCAAAAGAGAGUGUGACGGGAGCGUGUCAUGCAACGAUGGUGGGGUGAUUCCGGUUACCUAAUGUCCCAUGUGUCGGUGGCAUGGCAAGUAAGAGUCGUGCACGAAACAAACGGGCACGGUGCAAACACGAGCAUCUCAUACAACACACAUGCAUACGGUCCAUGGCUUCGUCUCGGAGUUAUACCUUCAAGGCGUGCAAUCGAGACGGUUCGGGUUCGUAGAGGGAAGUAGACAUUCUCGCGAUGGAGUCGGCCUUGACGUGUCCAGGAGACGCUCAGGAAGGUGGGGGUUCUCAGUCUUGCGGUUCUGGUCAUCUCAUCAAAACGCAGGCAGGGCCGAUGGAUUCACAGGGCAAGACAACAGCAACCUUGCGUGAAGGAGGCCACGGAGGCGAAGAAACUAAACGAAGGCCGAUACAGAGAGCUGCGGGUCAUGGCAUUGGUCGAUGCGGGCGAGCAGAAGCGCAUCCUCCUCCCCGUUCGAACGAGGCAGAGGCGGGGCAGUGGCUUGGCGAGCUUGAGGCCAUGGCUGCGGGCUGAGGAACGAGGUCCGGCGGGGUGGCGACGCUGCUGGUGGACGACGGCACGGGCAUAGAAGGCAGGGGCGUGAGGAGGCAAAGCAGAGGACGGGGUUGCCGGAGGAGCUGUCCUGGGGGCGGCGGAGUCCGAUGAGGAUGAGGUCUGGAGUAGGGCGCCAUGGCGGGGAGGCGACGUGGCUUCGGUGGAGAAGCACGAAGCGGUCAUGACGAUGGUGGUAGGCGCAGAAGGCGGGGCUGCAAGCACCCAUGGCCUUGACGAGGGGGUCGGGUGCGAGGCUCCUACGGGGGAGGCGACGAACGGGCGACGGCCAUGGCAAACGAGGAGGUAGGACGGCGAGGCGGCGGCCCUGUCGCGAAGGACGAAGGGGAGAGAAAGGAUAUGGGGUUCGAUGGAGUUGGGGGAUCAGGCAUCGGGUUUCUGGCGGCGCGAGGGAAGGAAAUGGGAUCGAGGGGAGAGACCGAGAGAUGGGAACGGGCUCCCUGGCGGCUAGGGUUAGUGCGGCUGGGCCUAGGAGGCCGUGGAUGGGCUGCUGAGAGGCCCAACUAGGCCGCGGGGAGGCAGGCCGGUUGUCAGUGUUCUGGGAACGGGGGUCCCCAGACUUGCCUGCCUGCGGCCCACGGCAUGGCUCUACGAGUGGGCCCGUACGGCCCAUCUUCACCAACAAGCACUCAAGACCCUCACGAGGGGCCAAGCCUCGCAAGGCAGACGACACAAGACCUCCUCGGGAGCGCCCUCACCGGGCUGGCUCACGAGGGGCGGAGAUUUCAAGGCAAGGCAUACCUCACGAGGUUUCAGUGACGUGAGCCAUGACGAUCAAGAUCAGGCGGGCGCCAGCGUGCACAGUGUCCUUGUUUCCUCUUUGGUGCUAAGGAAGCAAGCGCAGGCGCGGAGUACCGAGGCAUCAAGAAAAGGUUUCCAUAUUGGUGCAACAAGACCAAGACCAGCAGGACGGCAAGACGGAGGUCACUAUGGAGCCCAAGACGGCGUCACCACCAGAGCCUUUGGCAGGCGAAGACUGCUUUUGUCAGGAUAAGUUGUACUAGCUAUCCCCUUUCAAAUUGGCCAUUGUUGGCUCCCUUCCCGCUCAAUAUUUGGGAUUUGGACCAGGGCCUCUAUAAAUAGGACUAGCCACCACCCUAGCCAAGGGCGGAUCGAUCUCAUGGAGAGCCGAGAGAAGAGAGACCCGAACAACCACAAGUUCACCAAGCACAAGAACACCUCGCCUCAGGAAGCUAUUCUUCCCUUUGUACUGUUCAUCCUUAGCCCAAGAGACAAUCCACCACCACCACACUGGAGCAGGGUAUUACAGCACAAUGGUGGCCAGAAACGGUAUAAAUCUUGUGUCCUUCGUGUUGUGAGUUCGUUGAGUUAGCCCUUGAGAUCUUAGCGAAGUUAGGACGUGGAUCGGUAGGGGGAGAUCUUCGCGCGCACCCCAGUGUUUGAACCUUGAGGGUUUUGCCGGAACCCGAGAUCCGACAUUUAGCGCGCCAGGUAGGGGUGCGCCGAAGCUUCCCUUCCGUCGCUCCGUGUCCUGUUGCUUCAUCGUCUCCAUGGCAGACGCUCGCCGCGCUCGCGCUGAGCGUCGGGCUGCCCUCGCCGCCCGCAUUGCUCAGAUGGCUCCCGUCGGCGGGCCACCCCAUCGUUCUCCAUCGCCUGCCGCCAACGCCACCACCGGCCUAGCGGGGAACGAGCAGCAAGCAUCCUCGCUGCACCCCUCUGUGCGGCGCGAUGGCCACACCGCCACUCCAUCUCUGACCCCGGCCGGUUCGUCAUCCCACGCUCGUCGCGCUCCCAUGGACGCAUAGGCCACUUUGUGCAUGGCGCGCGAGCUCCUAUGCUACUACCCCGUCGACGACCUCUACGAGGACUGGCUCGACCACAUCGCCGAGCAUGUCGGUGCCACAGGGGGCUCCCCUGCACCGUCCCUCUCGCUGCCUCGCCCUCUGCCAGCCGCGGGCGGCGUGGCCCAUGGAGCGCCUCCACCACCUCUGCCCCAAGACGGAGUCUUGGCGCCCAGGCACGUGGCCCCACGGCGCGACCUGCCACGUUCGGCGCUCGCGCAAGAAGAAAGAAGUUGCCAAGAAGUCCCUCGGCCGCGAGAAAAUGCCCCCGCGCUCCCUGCGCCACCACGGCAAGAACGCGUGCCGCCUACAGCGGCGAUGUGCGGACCCUAUCAAGGACAAGUUCUCCACCAACGCAGAGUCUCGGUAACCACGGCAGGCUGCCGCGCCUUCACCCCUGAGCUACGUAGCGUCACUUGGCCGGGCAAGUUCAAGCCGGAUUUUCCUCCUCGCUAUGACGGCACCCCGACCCCGCGGAGUUCCUGCAGCUCUACGAGCUGAGCAUCAAGGCAGACAACGGCGAUGAGAAAGUCAUGGCGAACUGGUUCCCCAUGGUUCUCAAGGAUGGUGCCCGCUCCUGGCUCCUGAACCCGCCUCCAGGCUCGAUCUCCUCCUGGGACGAGAUGCGCGACCGUUUCGUUGCCAACUUUCAGGGCAGUCGCGACCGCCCACCGGCUACGGGUGACCUACGCCGCGUCAAGCAACAACUAGGAGAGACCCUCCAGAAGUACAUCCAACGCUUCAACAAUGUUCGCCUCAAGAUCCCCAAGGUGACGCAUGAGGCCAUCAUCUACGCGUUCUCCGAUGGCGUCCCCGAUGUCAAGAUGAAGGAGGAGCUCGCCAUCCACGAGGAGUUGUGCACGUCUCUGGAGCUGUUCAACUUGGUGACCAAGUGCGCAAGGGCUGAGGAGGGGCGCCUCUCCCUCCUCAAGCUACCGGCUGCGGACCUGGGGGAGAAGAAAGCCAAGACCAAAGAUGUGAAGCAUAAGGGAGCGGCCGUGCUCGCGGCGGAGCCGGACACAAAGUGCGGCAGGGACCAGCCCGAGUCGUCCAAGAGCAGUUGAUCAUUCUGCGCCUUCCAUAACCUGCAUAGUCACAACACCAGCGACUGUCAAGAGCUCAGAGCCAUUCGAGAAGGACGCUUCAGUCGAUGCCCCGAGCGCAAGGACCGGGGCAACGUCCGAGGAGGAGGACGUGAUGGCGGACGCUGGGACGACCGUGGCCCACACCAGGAGUGGUGCGACCGGCCUCGUGUGGACCGCUGGCAGGAUCAGUCUCGUGAGGGCGCCUGGAGGGAUCAGCCUCGUGAGGAUCGUCCUUAGGGAAACGCCGGUCUCCCUCCGCUACCGCCACCACCAAGAAGGAAUGACGACCACCAUCAGGAUGAGGGGGCUAGGGGCUUCCAGGAGCCGCGUGCCAUCGCCUGCAUCUUGGGCGGAGCUCAAGCCCCAGCCUCACAGUGUAUCUUCAAAUAGUUCACUCAUGAAGUCAAUGCAGUCCUUGAUACGUCUCCGUCGUAUAUACUUUUCCAAAAACGUUUGCCCUUGUUUUGGACUCUAACUUGUAUGAUUUGAAUGGAACUAACCCGGACUAACGCUAUUUUCAGCAGAAUUACCAUGGUGUUGUUUCAUGUGCAGAAAACAAAUAUUCUCGGAAUGACCUGAAACUCCACGGAACAUCUUAGAUAAAACAAUAAAAAAAUCCUCGCCAAAGAUGAAGACCAGGGGGGCCACACCCUUCUCACGAGGGUGGGGGCGCCCCCCCCCUAGGGCGCGCCCCCCUACCUCGUGGGCCCCUGGAAACCCUCUAACGCCAACUCCAACUCUAUAUAUUUGCUUUUAGAGAGAAAAAAAAUCAGGGAGAAGAAAUCAUCGCGUUUUACGAUACGGAGCCGCUGCCAAGCCCUAAAACCUCUCGGGAGGGCUGAUCUGGAGUCCGUUCGGGGCUCCGGAGAGGGGGAUUCGUCGCCGUCGUCAUCAUCAACCAUCCUCCAUCACCAAUUUCAUGAUGCUCACCGCCGUGCGUGAGUAAUUGCAUCAUAGACUUGCUGGACGGUGAUGGGUUGGAUGAGAUUUAUCAUGUAAUCGAGUUAGUUUUGUUAGGGUUUGAUCCCUAGUAUCCAUUAUGUUCUGAGGUUGAUGUUGCUAUGACUUUGCUAUGCUUAAUGCUUGUCACUAGGGCCCGAGUGCCCUGAUUUCAGAUCUGAACCUAUUAUGUUUUCAUGAAUGUAUGUGAGUUCUUGAUCCUAUCUUGCAAGUCUAUAGUCACCUACUAUGUGUUAUGAUCCGGCAACCCCGAAGUGACAAUAAUCGGGACCACUCUCGGUGAUGACCUUAGUUUGAGGAGUUCAUGUAUUCACUAUGUGCUAAUGCUUUGUUCUGGUUCUCUAUUAAAAGGUGGCCUUAAUAUCCCUUAGUUUCCAAUAGGACCCCGCUCCCACGGGAGGGUAGUACAAAAGAUGUCAUGCAAGUUCUUUUCCAUAAGCACGUAUGACUAUAUACGGAAUACAUGCCUACAUUACAUUGACGAACUGGAGCUAGUUCUGUGUCACCCUAUGUUAUGACUGUUACAUGAUGAACCGCAUCCGGCAUAAUUAUCCAUCACUGAUCCGGUGCCUACGAGUUUUCCGUAUACUGGUUUACGCUUAUUUACUUUCCCGCUGCUACAGUUACAAUCACUACAAAAUACCAAAAACAUUAGUUUUGUUGUCUUUACUUUUGUUGCCGGUACUACCACUAUCAUAUUACUUUGCUACUAAACACUUUGCUGCAGAUACUAAGUUUCCAGGUGUGGUUGAAUUGACAACUCAGCUGCUAAUACUUGAGAAUAUUCUUUGGCUCCCCUUGUGUCGAAUCAAUAAAUUUGGGUUGAAUACUCUACCCUUGAAAGCUGUUGCGAUCCCCUAUUAUUGUGGGUUAUCAAGACCAAUUUCUGGCGCCGUUGCCGGGGAGCAUAGCUCUAUUCUUUGAGUCACUUGGGAUUUAUAUCUGCUGGACACUAUGCAGAACUUGAGAGAUCCAAAAACACGAAUCUAUCCCUCAACUAUGAGGGGAGGUAAGGAACUUCCAUCUAGCUCUACACUUGAUUCACCUUCUGUUAUGAGUAAGUUUGCCAUACCUACAUCUGCUUCUGCCAUUCGUUCUGAUAUGUCGCAUGUUAUUGAUGAUGUGACUUCUGCUAUGCAUGAUACUUAUGAUGAAACUGCUUCUAUGCCUGAUACUACUAUGCCCCUUAGUGAAUUUCUUGAUGAACAAAUUGCUAGGGCUAGAGAAAGAGGAAUUAUUGAAUUUUAAUACGAUGAUGAUAGUGAUGAUGAAAAUAUGCCUAUUAUUCCUGAGGGCUAUCUUUUUGAUACGGAAUCUUCUUUAGCUAUUUCAGCUUGCAGAGAUAGAUAUGAGCUUAAGAGGUUAUUAAUUAAAUGGAACAAAGAAUCACUUAGAGAUAUAAUGAAACCUGACCCUUCUUUUGCUACUUCACCUAUAUGUGUUCCUAAUAAGGAUUAUGAAUUCUCUGUUGAUCCUGAUAUAAUCACUUUGGUUGAAUUCGGUCCGUUUUAUGGCUAUGAAUCUGAAACUGUUAUGGCACAUCUUACUAAGUUAAAUGAUAUAGCUGCCCUGUUUACUAAUGAUGAGAGAUCGCGUUACUUCUAUAUACUCAAAAUAUUUCCAUUCUCAUUAAAGGGUGAUGCUGAGAUAUGGUUUAAUUCUCUUGAUCCUGGUUGUGUGCGUAGUCCCCAGGAUAUGAUUUAUUACUUCUCUGCUAAAUAUUUCCCUGCUCAUAAGAAACAAGCUGCUUUGAGGGAAAUAUACAACUUCGUGCAAAUUAAAGAAGAGAGUCUCCCACAAGCUUGGGGGAGGCUUCUCAAGUUACUUAAUGAUUUUCCUGAUCAUCCUCUUAAGAAACCCGAAAUACUUGAUAUCUUUUAUAAUGGACUAACCGAUGCUUCCAGAGAUUACCUGGAUAGUUGUGCUGGUUCUCUUUUCAGGGAAAGAACACCGGAUGAAGCUGAAAUUCUAUUGAAUAAUAUGUUGACAAAUGAAAAUAAUUGGGCACCUCCUGAGCCAGCUCCUGAGCCAUCUCCUGCUCCAAUUACUGAGCCUAUUCCUAAACCAACUUCGAAGAAGAGAGGUGUUCUAUUCCUCAGUCCCGAAGAUAUGCAAGAGGCAAAGAAAUCUAUGAAAGAAAAAGGUAUUAAAGAUGAAGAUGUUAAGAAUUUACCUCCUAUUGAAGAAAUACAUGGUCUUAAUAUACCGCCUGUUGAAGAAACAUAUGAUAUCAAAUCUUUAUUUACUGAAGAACCUCCUGAUCCCGAUAUCCCGACACAGGUAGUAAAGGUAAAUUCUCUCUAUAGAUAUGAUAAAGCUGAAGUCCCUCCUACUAAAAUUGCUAGUCAGUGCUUGGAUGAGUUUGAUAACUUUAUGUUUAAGCAAGACGACUUCAAUGCUUAUUUUGGUAGACAAUUAAAAGAAAAUGCUUAUAUGAUUAGACGCUUGGGUGAUUAUAUGGCUAAUAUUAAAGGUGAACUUAAACUUGUUAGCAAACAUGCUUCUAUGGUUACCACUCAAGUAGAACAAGUACUUAAGGCUCAAAAAGAAGUGCUUGAUGAAAUGAAUAGUAAGAAAAAUGAUUAUGCUGUUAGAGUGGCUACUAGAACUGGUAGAAUGACUCAGGAACCUUUGUAUCUUGAAGGCCACCCUAAGAGAAUCGAGCAAGAUUCUCAAAGAAAUAAUAUUGAUGUUCCUAGUUCUUCUAAAAAGUAGAAGAAGAAAAAUGAUAGAACUGUGCAAACUUCUAGUGAACCUAUUGCUGAACCACCUAAUAAUCCAAAUGAUAUUUCUAUGUCUGAUGCUGAAACACAAUCUUUUAAUGAACAUGAACCUAGUAAAAAUAUUAAUAAUGAUGUUCAUGAUGAUGCACAACCUAGUAAUGAUAAUGAUGUAGAAAUUAAACCUGCUGUUGAUCUUGAUAACCCACAAUCAAAGAAUCAACGUUAUGAUAAAAGAGACUUUGUUGCUAGGAAACAUGGUAAAGAAAGGGAACCAUGGGUUCAGAAACCCAUGCCUUUUCCUCCUAAACCAUCCAAGAAAAAGGAUGAGGAGGAUUUUGAGCGCUUUGCUGAAAUGAUUAGGCCUAUCUUUUUGCGUAUGCAAUUAACUGAUGUGCUCAAAACAAAUCCUUAUGCUAAAUAUAUGAAGGAUAUCAUUACUAAUAAAGAAAGAUACCGGAAGCUGAAAUUUCCACCAUGCUUGCUAAUUAUACUUUUAAGGGUGGAAUACCAAAGAAACUUGGAGACCCCGGAGUACCCACUAUACCUUGCUCCAUUAAAAAGAAUUAUAUUAAAACUGCUUUAUGUGAUCUUGGAGCCGAUGUUAGUGUUAUGCCUCUCUCUUUAUAUCGUAGACUUGACUUGAAUAAGCUGACACCUACUGAAAUAUCUUUGCAAAUGGCCGAUAAAUCAACUGCUAUACAUGUCAGUAUUUGUGAGGAUGUGCCCGUUGUGGUUGCAAACAUUACUAUUUUAACGGACUUUGUUAUACUUGAUAUUUCUGAGGAUAAUAGUAUGUCUAUUAUUCUUGGAAGACCUUUUCUUAAUACUGCAGGGGCUGUUAUUGAUUGCAACAAAGGCAAUGUCACUUUUCAUGUUAAUGGUAAUGAGCAUAUGGUACACUUUCCGAGGAAACAACCUCAAGUUCAUAGUAUCAACUCUAUUGGAAAAAUUCCAUCGAUUAUAUUUGGAGGUUUUGAAUUUCCUCUUCCUACUGUCAAUAAGAAAUAUGAUAUACUUAUUAUUGGGGAUGUGCAUAUCCCCGUUGAGGUAACCUAGUGUUAUUCGAAAUUUCUCCGGUUUCAUGAUUAUCGGAAUGAGUUUGUUAACAAGACUUAAUCAACCUUGUUAGUGGAUUCUUUUUGAUGAGCAUGAGAUGGAUGAAACUAGAAGCACAAACUUCUGUACCCUCUCUAUACUUUCUGUUAUUUAUAUUAAAUAAAGUAAAAAUAGUAUUUUUCUGUCUGUUUCCUAACUUAUCCAUGCAAUAUAAAAAUAUCCCGAAAAUAAAAGUCCUCAGAAUGCCAUGCCAAUUUAAUAUGAUUUUUUUGAGAAUAUUUGAGGAUUUACUGUGCAAAAAUUACCGCGGGGGGAGCUGCCACCUGGCCACGAGGGUGGUGGGCGCCCCCCCUAUAGGGCGCGCCCCCCUGCCUCAUGGGCCCACGGUGGCCCUCCUCCACUUAUCCCAGCACCCAUCUUCUUCCUCUAUCUCACACAAACCCGAAAAACCAACUCAAGCAUGAGUUCCAGCCACUUUUGCUGUGAUUUUCGAUCUCCUUGCUCAAAGCACCUCUCGCAAAACUGCUUGGGGAGAUUGUUCCUUCGUAUGUGACUCCUCCAUUGGUCCAAUUAGUUUUUGUUCUAGUGCUUUAUUCUUUGCAAAUUUGUGCUACAUAGGUGACCAUGUUCUUGAGCUUGCAUGUCAAAUUUAUAUGGUUCCAAGUAGUUCUAAUGCUUGAUUUAGGCUCUGGGCACUUGUAGGAGUAGUUGCUAUCAGUUUUAUUGAGUUUGGUUUACUUUUUGUUUGAAGUUACUAAAAAAUUCAGGUUGUUUCAGAAAAAUAAUGAGGAGAUUUUUGAGGGGAUCAUCGAGCCAAAGCUCGAAGGAAAAGGCACCGAAGCCUAAGUAUAAUUUGCCGCGCACUGCGGAGAUUCGGGCGUGUGAAUGGCCUUCUGAAGAUUUCUUAAGAGCAGCCGGUAUCUAUGAAGAUUUUCAUGAAUUGUCUCACAAUGCAGGCCUCACCGCUUUCUUCCACGACCAAUGCGAUCAGUAUCUCUUUCUCACAAAUACUUUCGUGCAAAACUUUCAUUUUCAGUCUAGGAACUCACCACCUACGGUGGAGUUUCAUUUGUAUGAUGAGCAUAAGGAGAUGUCACUUUAUGAUUUUUGUCGGAUUUGUUUAGUCCCUUUUGAGGGCAAGACAGAAGAACCACAUCAUGAUGAUGAGGCUGGGUUUAUUGAUACUAUCACUAUAGGAGAAACUAGAAAGGUUUCCGAUGCACGAAUCACUAGCAUACAUUUUGCUGUUUUACGUUACUUUGCAUUAUUUGCUAGUUGUUGUUUAAUUGGACGUGGAAACAGUGGAAACCUUAGUAUCCCUGAUAUAAUUAUUCUGCACCACGGUUUAUACAGUGAUAACACUUUUAGUGUGGGUGGUAUUAUUGCUAGACGGUUAAGCAUGAACCGUACUAAGUGUCCCAUCUUUGGAGGCAUCUAUGCCACAUGCCUAGCCGCACAUUUUAACAUACCUAUUAGGCAUGCUGAGAAGGAAGAAAAGGUGCUGCCCCGUGUUUAUCUAGAUCAUAAAAGUAUGGUGGCACAUGAUUUUAUUGUUAAAAUAGGGCAGGGGAGCUUAAAUAUCAAUUGUUCUUUAAUAAACAUCAUCCUGAGACUAUUACCUUGCCUGCUCCUUCUUUGUUUGAUUUGACUGCAGGCACAUACCUUGUUCCGUUGACGGCUAUUCACGCCUACCGGAACCCUGCACCAGUCGAGGAGCUAGAACAGGAACCACAAGAUGAGCCUCCACGACAAUUUGUUUAUUCUUGGGAUCCAGAGAUGACUUUCAGCCAGUGGCAGUCAGAGUCUUCUUCUUCAUCACACUAUGAUCCCAACUAUCCUUCCUCAUCACAGUACGACCCCAACAACUAUUAUUAUGGAUAUCCGUCAGGCCAGCUGUGGCCAUAGACCAACUUAGGCCAAAAGCCUAAGCUUGGGGGAGUAUGUAUUUCUCACCGACAUUACAUUUAUGUUCACACACACUCAUUGCUAGAUGUCGGUGCUCAUGCUUUUUCACUGUAAUAUCCAUGCUAGUUUAUUUUCUUUUUCCUGCUUUCUUCUUGUGUGUUUGCUAAACCUUAAGAAAAACCAAAAAAAUUAGUAGUAGUUUAUUUUUCUGCUGUAGUAGUAAUAACUAAAAAGAAAACCCAAAAAUAUUUCCCGUUCUUCUUUUGAUUGUUGGGAGCUUUCCCGUGUAAAUAGUUUUAUUUCUUUUCUUUUCUUUGGGGGUCAGUAGGAGAAGACCAUAAUUAAAUUGUUGAAGUGGCUCUUAUAUGCAUUAUUGUUGACUUAACCAAGAGCCCAUAUUGCCUUGUCUUCUCGUGUUUAUUGAAUGCUUGCAGAUUCCAGCUUAGUCCAAUGCACGUGCACUCUUAUUAUUAUUCACACCAUUCGGUCAUGCAAGUGAAAGGAAAUUAUGAUGAUAUAUGAUGGACUGACUAAGAUGAGAAAAGCUGGUAUGAACUCGACCUCUUUUGUUUUUGUAAAUAUGAUGACUCCCUCGUUCUUGAUUUAGCUUAUUAUGAAUAAACAUGUUUGCAAUGACAAUUAGAGAUCAUAGUUGCUUGUGCCAUGCUUGAUUAGCUAUGAGUUAUAAUGGUUUACCUUGUGUGCCAACAUGCUAUUGAGAUGAUUAUGAUGUGGUAUGAUGGGGUGGUAUCCUCCUUUGAAUGAUUUAAGUGACUUGACUUGGCACAUGUUCACGCAUGUAGUUGAAACAAAAUCAACAUAGCCUUCACGAUAUUUAUGUUCAUGGUGGAUUAUAUCCUACUCAUGCUUGCAUCCAAUGUUUAUUAAUUUUAAUGCAUGUACAUGGCUGUUGUCGCCCUCUAGUUGGUCGCUUCCCAGUCUUUUGCUAGCCUUCACUUGUACUAAGCGGGAAUACUGCUUGUGCAUCCAAUCCCUUAAACCCCAAAGUUAUUCUAGAUGAGUCCACCAUACCUUCCUAUAUGCGGUAUCUACCUGCCGUUCCAAGUAAAUUUGUAUGUGCCAAACUCUACACCUUCAAAUAAACAUUCUGUUUUGUAUGCUCGAAUAGCUCAUGUAUCAACAAAGGUUGUACUUAUCUUCCGUGUUAGGCGGGUUAUUCUCAAGAGGAGUGGACUCCGCUCCUCACUCGCGAGAAAAUGGCUGGUCACCGGGAUGCCCAGUCCCAUGCUUUAUGCAAACUAAAUCAAAAUUAAUUGCAAACAAAACUCCCCCUGGGACCUGAUGUAUGUUGGAGGCACUCGUUGUUUCGAGCAAGCCAUGGAUUGAUGCUUGUUGGUGGAGGGGGAGUAUAAACUUUACCAUUCUGUUUGGGAACCGCCUAUAAUGUGUUUAGCAUGGAAGAUAUUGCCAUCUCUUAGUUGUUAUGUUGACAAUGAAAGUAAACCACUCAAAAUACAAUUUAUCUCUAUUGCAAAACCGAGCUCUGGCACCUCUACAAAUCCAUGCUUCCCUCUGUGAAGGGCCUAUCCAUUUACUUUUAUGUUGAGUCAUCACCCUCUUAUUAAAAAUCACUAGCUGGAGAGCACAGCCGUCAUUUGCAUUCAUCACUGUUAAUUUAUAUUGGGUAUGACUAUGACUGGAUCUCUUUUACCAUGAAUUACAAUGUCUAGUCAGUCCUUGAUCUUUAAAGGUGCUCUGCAUUUAUGUUUUGCGGUCUCAGAAAGGGCUAGCAAGAUACCAUCUUGUUAUAUCAUAUUAUGAUUGUUUUGAGAAAGUGUUGUCAUCCGAGAUUUGUUAUUAUGACUUGCUAGUUGAUUAUGCUAUUGAUAUGAGUAAUUGUGAGACCUGAGAAUUAUUGCAAAUGUGGUUAAUUAUGAUCUAUGCUGAAAACUUGAAUGCUGGCUUGACAUAGUUACAAAAACAAGAGCAAACAGAGUUUGUAAAAGUUUUUCUUUCUUUCUUUCAGUUUGUCAACUAAAUUUCUUGAGGACAAGCAAGGGUUUAAGCUUGGGGGAGUUGAUACGUCUCCGUCGUAUCUACUUUUCCAAACACUUUUGCCCUUGUUUUGGACUCUAACUUGUAUGAUUUGAAUGGAACUAACCCGGACUGACGAUGUUUUCAGCAGAAUUACCAUGGUGUUGUUUUAUGUGCAGAAAACAAAUAUUCUCGGAAUGACCUGAAACUCCACGGAACAUCUUAGAAAAAACAAUAAAAAAUCCUCGCCAAAGAUGAAGACCAGGGGGCCCACACCCUUCUCACGAGGGUGCCCCCCCUAGGGCGCGCCCCCCUACCUCGUGGGCCCCCUGGAAACCCUCCGACGCCAACUCCAACUCUAUAUAUUUGCUUUCGGAGAGAAAAAAAUCAGGGAGAAGAAAUCAUCGCGUUUUACGAUACGGAGCCGCCGCCAAGCCCUAAAACCUCUCGGGAGGGCUGAUCUGGAGUCCGUUCGGGGCUCUGGAGAGGGGGGAUUCGUCGCCGGCGUCAUCAUCAACCAUCCUCCAUCACCAAUUUCAUGAUGCUCACCGCCGUGCAUGAGUAAUUGCAUCGUAGGCUUGCUGGACGGUGAUGGGUUGGAUGAGAUUUAUCAUGUAAUCAAGUUAGUUUUGUUAGGGUUUGAUCCCUAGUAUCCAUUAUGUUCUGAGAUUGAUGUUGCUAUGACUUUGCUAUGCUUAAUGCUUGUCACUAGGGCCCGAGUGCCAUGAUUUCAGAUCUGAACCUAUUAUGUUUUCAUGAAUAUAUGUGAGUUCUUGAUCCUAUCUUGCAAGUCUAUAGUCACCUACUAUGUGUUAUGAUCUAGCAACCCCGAAGUGACAAUAAUUGGGACCACUCCCGGUGAUGACCUUAGUUUGAGGAGUUCAUGUAUUCACUAUGUGCUAAUGCUUUGUUCCGGUUCUCUAUUAAAAGGAGGCCUUAAAAUCCCUUAGUUUCCAAUAGGACCCCGCUGCCACGGGAGGGUAGGAAAAAAGAUGUCAUGUAAGUUCUUUUCCAUAAGCACGUAUGACUAUAUACGGAAUACAUGCCUACAUUACAUUGAUGAAUUGGAGCUAGUUCUGUGUCACCCUAUGUUAUGACUGUUACAUGAUGAACCGCAUCCGGCAUAAUUAUCCAUCACUGAUCCGGUGCCUACGAGUUUUCCAUAUACUGGUUUACGCUUAUUUACUUUCCCGCUGCUACUGUUACAAUCACUACAAAAUACCAAAAACAUUACUUUUGAUGUCCUUACUUCUGUUGCCGCUACCACCACUAUCAUAUUACUUUGCUACUAAACACUUUGCUGCAGAUACUAAGUUUCCAGGUGUGGUUGGAUUGAUAACUCAGCUGCUAAUACUUGAGAAUAUUCUUUGGCUCCCCUUGUGUCGAAUCAAUAAAUUUGGGUUGAAUACUCUACUCUCGAAAGCUGUUGCGAUCCCCUAUACUUGUGGGUUAUCAGUCCUCCCCAAGCUCGAGGCUAUGCGCCUGCUCAUAUGGUCCAAGUGUGCCAUCACGUUCAGCUUGGCAGAUCAGCUCAAAUGCGCGGCUACCUCUGGCGCCCUCCCGAUGCUCUGUUCACCAGUCAUUAGCAACGUACAAGUUACCAAGACUCUCAUCGAUGGCGGCGCAGGGAUCAACGUCCUGUCCGUCGACACGUUUGACAGUCUCCAAGUGCCGUAUGAUCAGCUUCAGCCCACCAAGCCUUUCUCAGGAGUGACCGAUGGCUCCACCACCCCGAUCGGUCAGGUCCGCCUCCCUGUCACCUUCGUACAACGCGACAACUACCACACCGAGCUCAUCGACUUCGAUGUCGCCCAUAUCCGUCUACCAUACAAUGCCAUCCUUGGGUAUCCGGCCCUGGCCAAGUUCAUGGUCGUGACGCACCAUGGCUACAACGUCCUCGAGAUGGCAGGAAGCGGUGGGAUCAUCACAGUCCCCUGCGAAGAAAGAGAUGGGGUGUGCUCCCUCGAGCGCGCCUUCCAAGUAGCAUCAAUCGAAUACCCCGGCAACAAUGCAGCUCGGUACCCUCCUGAGGUCGUCCCCAAAAAGAAGAAGCAGCUACUCCGUGUCGACCUCGGGAGGGCAGCGCCGCAAGUGGCACCUCGUCAGGAUCAGCGCCCGUACCUAGGGCGCCUCCCUCUGUCGCAUAGGAACGUGCACCCAGCGCCCUCCUCGGGCAGGGCUCGGGGGCUCUCUUCUGGAGGGCCUCAGACCUUGUCAACGUCAUGGGGGAGGCGCUCGGGCACCACUUGGAGGCGUGUUUCGCGGCACGUCUCCCUCAGGAGGACACUGGGCAAGGAGCACCCGGCGCUUAGGAGUUCAUCACCAAGGUAUCUCGGGAGCUUCAGGAAGCAAGAGCAAUACGCGGCGACUACCGCCCACCUGGCAUUGCUCCCCACCCAGGCGAGGGUGGUGAGCUGCACGUCUGCAUCGACAUACCAGGGCUCAACCGAGCCAUAUCUCAGGAGCGCUUCUGGCCUUCGCAUGUUGGGCACUGCGAAGGUCCACCUCACAGCUACGUCUGUAUGCUGUUCAGCCUGCCGAGCGUGGCUGCUGCCUUCCAGCGCAAGCUGCGGAGCAUCAUGGCGGGCCAGGAGGCUAGACACCACGUAGUCCUGGCGGAUAUGGCGACAUUCCUCAAGGAACCGCCUGGACCCCCAGGGCCUCCCGAGGCACAGGGCCCGGUGGCUCAUGAGGAGCAACCCCUUCGCCGCGUACCUUCAGCUGCCUCAACACCCCUUCAUCAACAGAACCAGGUGACAUUUUCCAAGUUUAUUUAGCUGGGAGCGCCCAGGGGGCUGCAUUAUUCCCAGGCGGUUAGCCACGGCGUCUAUGCUCGGGCCCGUCCCUACAGUGUCGAUAAAUCCAACGGCUAAGCUAUGCCUGGCGAGCCAGCCCCGUUCACAUCACCUCCUGGGCCGUUGGUGCUUGGCUUUCUCACGCGAUAACCUCAGGAGAUUCAUUUGGCGCAGGUUGUAUGACCACCUCGCAGGACCAACACAGCGAACAAGAAUCAAGAUCAGGCACAACCCGCCUUGAGGUAGGGCCUCGUGAGUCCCGCACUGGCUCACGAGUGCCCAGACACACCUCGUCUAGCCCUGUCGUGCAAGCCAUGUCUCAGGGCGGGGCUGUACACGCCCCGGGGGCUCUCCGCAGUAGGGAGCCCCCCCCCCACGUACCAAUGGAAGCACCAUGCUCCGCGCUGGCAGUCGACACUGCCGAGGAGUGGCUAUGCCCGUGCAAGUGCGGAAGCGCCAUGGUCCGUCCUGGUGAUAAACAACUGAGGGCGGCCUCACGUCCAUAUCAACCUCAGGGAGCCUCUGGGCUCGGUUUCUGGCCUCAACGCAACGCCUCCCCUCGGGAGAGCCGCGCGAGGGGGCUGGGCAUAGGGGCUACGCUCGGGUCACUCCCAAGCAUACGCCACCCCGCCAGGUCCCUCGGACCCGGUCGUCACGCGCCCUUCCCGAGCCUCGGUGAGGGCGAAGGUAUGAAGGGUGUUUGUACAUCAAGGGGGACUCCUGAGCAUCGCGACUCAGGAGCCUAACUGACCACGUAGCCCCUCACUCCUUGGGUCCGUCCUGGUCUCUUGUCGGUCCAACGGCGGUUGAGGUAUGCGCGGGGUCGGGCCCUGCCGACGUAGAACACAAGACCUGCCAUUGCAUCUCCUUUCCACAAGUUGUUUGUGCGUCAAGGGGGACUCCUGAGCAUCGCGACUCAGGAGCCUAACUAGUCAUGUAGCCCCUCACUCCUUGGGUCUGUCCUGGUCUCCGGUCGGUCCAACGGCGGUUGAGGUAUGCGCGGGGUCGGGCUCUGCCGACGUAGAACGUAAAGCAAAUGGGAAGGAAAUCGCAAAUCUCAAAGCAAAUAUUACAAGACAUAUUGUUCUCCGAAUAUCAAACACAAGUCUAAACGCCUCCACGAGGCACACUACAUGUUGCAGGAGUUUCAACAGGAAAGGAGCCGCAAGCCAGUCAUCCCUCGAUACCGCAGGCGCCUGCAAGAGGUGCCCCCUCCUGGGUGGCGUCGCCUUCACCUGCACCACCGUUCGAAGGCGCGGGGGUGAAGGCGUCGAACUUCUCCAGCAGGGCUUCCACCUGACCUUUCACGGCUACGGCUGUAGCUGAGCAGUGUUCAUCAGCCACGGGCUCCAGCAGCUCGUCAAGGCGGGUGGUAGGAUCGCGAAGAUGGAGGUGGCUGAAGACGUGCGUUAGUGCGGCUGAGGAAAGGACACGAGCCUCUGCCUCUGCCAUGGGGCCGAUGCUGCGCACACUUCCUCAAGCGCCUCGACCAAGUAGGGAAGCAACUGGGCAGGGUCGUCCUCAUUGGUGGCCAACGGCUUCUCCAAGCCCUUCUCAUAGAGUGACUUCAGGGCCUCGCGAGACCUCUUCUCCAGAAGCGCGAAGGCUGCGUGGUCCUCGGCCAGAACCUUCGCCUUGGCACGAGUUCAGCCUUUUCAACCUACACCUUUUGCUCCAGCUCCUCUAGCCGGCCGCGUUCAGCGGCCUACGCUUGCGCCAGCUGCCCCAGCUCGGCAUCGCGACCCUUGACGGCGUCCUCACGGGCCUUCAUCCUCUCUUCCUCCGCUUGACGGCCACGGGCAUCUUCGGCACGCUCUUCGCGCAGGAUCUUCAGCUCGGCCUCCAGCUCCUGGCAGCGACCCUGGGCAGCCUCAGCGUCCUUCAGCGCCGCCUCACGAGCAACCGCUGCCUGAGCUGCGGCUCGCCUCACCCCCUUAGAGGUUGAUGUGGCCUGGCUCAGCGCCGCUCGAAUGUACACGUCAGAAUGAAGCCAACCGGAGACCAGCUCCAGGCGCCCAACCGCCAGGAGGGGUUCGGCGCUCUGGAGAUCUUCUUGCAGUCGGGCCAUCUCAGGGAGGGCUCGCUCCAGGAUGUCAGUAGAAGCAAAGGAACCUGGGGCCAGCGACACAACGGAAGGAGGAGGUAGAGGCAUCGUCGUCACCAUGUCCUGAGAGGCUGGAGGCUCCCGAGCCUCUUGGACCCCAGCACCCGAGCCGGACUCUGGUACCUCCCGAGUCAGCGGGGCCUCGGGGGCUGACUUCUCCCGAGGACGCUCCACCCAGCCUCAUGAGGAUGAUCAGGCUGGAGAAGCACGAGCAUCGUCCCUACAUUUGCUCAUGGAGAGGGGCGCGGUCGCAGGAGGCAACCCGGACUCAAGCGGCACCACCUCGCUCUCCCUUCUCCUCUUCGCCACCGGCGCCUGUCUAGUUACACAACAAGGAAGAAGAGUCAGAAACAAGCAUCAGCAGUAAGAAUGAGGCAGGACGAAAAUACUCACUAAUCCACCGCGGUGUAGUCCCUCCGCUUCAGGAGCCUAAAGCCGGAGAGCUUCACGACCCGAGGCGCGGGCGCACCGGCCCCUGAAGCAGAAGCAGGAGCAGCAGUUGAGCCGGAAGCGGCUCCAGCCAGUGCUGGAACAGCAGCAGAAUCUCGGGAGAUCAGCGCCGACCUACUCCUCGUCGGGGUCACGGAUGAUUCCUCCUUCUCCUGGGGGGCAUCGGCCUCGUCAUCAUCGGGAAAGGUGCGGAGGAGGUCGACCCUGCUCAAGGGGGAGGUUUCCCCUAUCCCUUCGGGGGUCAACCCCGAGUCGUGCUCCUCGUCCUCCUCCUCGUCCCCAGAACACACGUCCACCGUCGCCGUCGCCGCAGGAACUCCAGAAGGCGGUGGUGGCACCGGUCCGCGCCCAUCAAAGGUCGGCCUGGAGGCCACGACCAUCGCCCCGUCCUUGCGGCGAAACAAGGGAGUGAAGACAUUCGGCGGGCACUCUUAGUCGUCCCCGACCAGGAUGCGGAGAGCCACAGCCAGCUCAUCUUCGAACAAGGCUUUCGGGCUCAGGCGAACCUUGUCCUCUUAGUUCCCAAGCUCCCACAAGGGGCAAGUACGCGCUUGGAGUGGGGUUACACGCAGCAUCAAGAAUUCCCUCAGGAGCAUGGCCCCUGUCACCUUUGCCGCCUUCGCGUUGCCCGGUUUCAGGUCGGCAUUCAUCUGCUCCAGCACCAACAUCGCCCGCUCGUCAGUGAGCUUCGCAUGAGACCACCCCUUGUCGGACUGGGGCAUCUCUAUCGGCAGCGUCAAGCAUGGGUGGACGCACUUGGCGUCCAUCAUGGCCCACUUGCUCCGGAAGCCGUCGGCCUUCUUCCCAGUCUUCGAGAUUGAGUUGGCCUUGCCGGCUGCGAUGAAAUUGGCACACUCGGAGGUAUGGCCAUCGUUGAUGCGGAGGAAGAAGAAGUGGCGCAGCAGAGCCACGGACGACAUCACGCCGAGGUACACCUCGCAGUAGUAGGCGAAGAUCGACAAGAGAAGGAUGGAGAUGGGAUGAAGAUGCAGCGCCUGCAGUCCGUAGUGGUCCAGGACCUCGAAGAAGAAGUCAGCAAAAGGGGGAACCAGUCCUGCGGCGAUGCUGCUCAUAAAGAAGGGGAAGAAGGUGCUUCCUUCGGGCUCCGGCACGGCAGAACCGACCUGGAGCUCGGUCUUCCCCCUCUCAUUGUUUUCCCCCGCCGUCAGCAAGCGCAUGGCAGAGUGGUUCUUCUCUGAGACAUUGGGUGCAUCGAGGGCCGGCUCGUACCAAGCCGGCGGCUAGGCAGCCUUGACCUUGCGUGGCGCCAUUAGUCGCUGAUGCGGGAGAAGAUGGAAGCAGAUCUGGAGGUUUCGGAAGCAAGGGGCGAGAAAGGGGAUCGGGAGCAAGGUGGAGGAAGGCAAUGAAGGCAAGCGUAGACCGCGCCUGCCUUUUGUCAGUCGGGCAGUUGCCGAGGCAGGGUGGGGAAGCGGAGACGCCCACGUCCAAUCAACCGCCACGCAUCGACCAAGGCCGCAGGCUAUUGGGGCCCACGGCGCUCCGUGCUUGACCUUUAGCUUUGCCUCGAAGCCAAGCCCGAGCGCGCCUUGGGACCGGGGGCUACUGUUGGUGUUCUGGGAACGGGGGUCCCCAGACUUGCCUGCCUGCGGCCCACGGCGUGGCUCUGUGAGCGGGCCCGUACGGCCCAUCUUCACCAGCAAGCACUCAAGACCCUCGCGAGGGGCCAAGCCUCGCGAGGCGGAAGACAAAAGACCUCCUCGGGAGCACCCUCACCAGGUUGGCUCGCGAGGGGUGGAGAGUUCAAGGCAAGGCAAACCUCGCGAGGUUUCAGUUACGUGAGCCAUGACGAUCAAGAUCAGGCGGGCGCCAGCGCGCACAGUGUCCUUGUUUCCUCUUUGGUGCUAAGGAAGCAAGCGCAGGCGCGGAGUACUGAGGCGUCAAGCAAAGGUUUCCAUAUUGGUGCAACGAGACCAAGACCAGCAGGACGGCAAGACGGAGGUCACCGUGGAGCCCAAGACAGCGUCACCACCAGAGCCUUUGGCAGGCGAAGACUGCUUUUGUCAGGAUAAGUUGUACUAAUUGUCCCCUUUCAAAUUGGCCGUUGUUGGCUCCCUUCCCGCUCAAUAUUUGGGAGAGGACCAGGGCCUCUAUAAAUAGGACUAGCCACCACCAUAUCCAGGGGCGGAUCAAUCUCAUGGAGAGUCGAGAGCCGAGAGACCCGAACAACCACAAGUUCACCAAGCACAAGAACACCUCGCCUCAGGAAGCUGUUCUUCCCCUUGUACUGUUCAUCCUUAGCCCAAGAGGCAAUCCACCACCACCACACUGGAGUAGGGUAUUACACCACAACGGUGGCCCGAACCAGUAUAAAUCCUGUGUCCUUCCUAUUGUGAGUUCGUCGAGUUAGCCCUUGAGAUCUUAGUGAAGCUAGGGCGUGGAUCGGUAGGGGGAGAUCUUCGCACGCACCCCAGUGUUCGAACCUUGAGGGUUUUGCCAGAACCCGAGAUCCGACACCGGCCUGGCCGCUGGGCUCUCUCUCUCUCUCUCUCUCCUUAUUUUCUUUAGCGGGAAACAAUUAAAGAGAAGAAAAAAGAAAGAAAGAAAGAGGGGUUAGGGAAAGAAGUUGGACACGUGGAUAAAUUUCCCGGACUCAAAAAACGUGCAUGUUCACAGAAAAAUAGAAGUGGCAAGAUCGCAGGAGUUAAAUUCAAAUUCAUUUGAAUAUAAUUCAAAUGGUUUUGAAUUCGGACUAGGUUUGGUGUGGCCAAAAAUGUUUGGAUUUUUGGUGGAGCUCCGGAAAAUGAUGAAAGAAUAUAUGGCAAGGUUGGAGACCAAGAAUUGAGAUAACAAAUACAUUGGGAUAAUUUGCAAGUGUGUUAUGGUGAAUUCCAAAUUAAAUAAAUAUUUAAUAUAGCUCCCUAAUAUUGGGAGGAUAUGUUAUAAAGAGAAGUCACUCUUCCCUCGAUUUAAAUAGAUCAACCAUCUAUGCAAUUUAUUAGUUGAGUUUAAAAAAUGAAAUGGCAUGAUGACAUGAUGCAAAGAUGAAUGCAACAGACAAAACAAAUCACCCGAUGAAACUCGGAAAACGUGGAAGGCAUCUGAAGCUCCGGUCUUGGGGCAUUCCAACACUCCACCACUACAAGAGGAUCUCGUCCUGAGAUCUAAGGAUGGCACCGGAGAGAAACAGAAGAGGAAGAGGUAAAACAAAGUUGCUUCUUUGACAAACGAGUGAAACCAAAGAACCUUGAGAGGUUGAACAAAUUGAAAGGAAGAAUGCAACGAAGAUGAACAAAGUUGAAAACACUCCAUUAAAAAAGCGGAACAAGGAAGAACAAAUUCGGACAGCACUCCGGUUGAAAAGAUAUGUAAGACUUGAUAAGAUGAAAAGAACUUGAGCAGAGGGCACAACACUCCGGUUAAAUGGAUAAGCACGAAAAGAACAUGAUCCUCAUAAUUCGAGAUGAUGAGUGAAUAGAGCAACAUCACAAUGCCUCCGGGAGAAAGAAUAGAAGAUAGAUCAUUGGAAUGAAAGAAUGGAGAAGAAAAUGCCAACUUCUGCCACAAAUGAGCUUGGAGAGCACCCUUCCAAGAAGGUUAUAAUGGAGUUGUUGGAAAACCAACAAGGAAACGAAUAAACUUGUAGUGGGCUUAUGGAAAACUUCUCAAAAUUGAGGCGAAAUUCUGCCACUACGGAAACAAAAGAUUGGAUUGAUAUCACCAAGGAGUCGAGAAACAUACUUCACCGGGAGGAUAAGUGAAGAACUUGGGUCAUUUAUAAGCAUGAUAAAUAGCAACAAUCCUUAGGUAAAGCUUUAGGUGAAAUAUAACCCAAGAUAACUCCAAUGAAGAGAUUGAUGGAUUGAGAAGAGCUCAUGCUCGAAGAAAUUGAUGGGUUUAACUAUCUCAUUCUUGACAAUUGUUGAAUCAUGACACAUGAAGGGAAAUUGUCAAGAGUGACAUAACAUCACCUCAAAAGACAAGACAGAAAUAAUUGCACUUCGGAAUGCAAGAUGAAGAAUGCUUGAACUCCUCAAAACAAGACAUGUGUUUAACAUUGAGGGAGUCCUGGAUUAGGGGGUCUCCAGACAGCCGGGCUAUAUCCUUUGGCCGGACUGUUGGACUAUGAAAAUACAAGAUUGAAGACUUUGUCCCGUGUCCGGAUGGGACUCUACUUGGCGUGGAAGGCAAGCUAGGAAAUACGGAUAUGUAUAUCUCCUCCUUUGUAACCGACCUUGUGUAACCCUAGCCCCCUCUGGUGUCUAUAUAAACCGGAGGGUUUUAGUCCGUAGGGCAAGAUACAAUCAUACCAUAGGCUAGCUUCUAGGGUUUAGCCUCUCCGAUCUCGUGGUAGAUCUACUCUUGUAAUACUCAUAUCAUCAAGAACAAUCAAGCAGGACGUAGGGUUUUACCUCUAUCAAGAGGGCCCAAACCUGGGUAAAACAUCGUGUCCACUGCCUCCUAUUACCAUCCGCCUUAGACGCACAGUUCGGGACCCCCUACCCGAGAUCCGCCGGUUUUGACACCGACAGACACCAUGUUUAUUUUUUUGAGUAUAGCUUGGCGGAACUUAACUUCGAGAUAAAUCUUGAAGAACAGUUAAAGAAUGGAAAGAAUCCUUAAUGAGCCACCAUGUAGAGCCUCCAUGAUGAACUCCGGUAAUAAAAGAAUGAUCAAACGGAAGGAAAUCUAAAAAGAACUCCGGUAAUAAAAGAAUGAUAGAAAGAAAGAGAAGUUGAAAACACAAGGUGUAACCGAGAAAACUUGGAGCUCCGGAAAAGGAAAAGGUGAAACACUAGACCCGAGAAUUACUUCAUCCUGAACGAACUCCGAAGGAAGGGAUUAAACAUUUGGAUGAAACAAGAAUAAGAAUUACAUUAUGUGUAUCCUUCAUCAAUUUAAAUUUAUGACAUGCAAUGGAUUUGGCAUACUACUUAUUCUCGUAGAAAGGAUUAAGAUAGAUAUAGCGCAAACUUGAGAAGGUCUUGAUGGAACCACCAGUGGGAUUUGGAAAUCUAUAUGAUAACGAAGGAAGAGAACUCUUGAACGAACCACCGUAAGAAUUGAAAAUGAAAGUAGCAAAGGCACAAUUCACCGGGAAGAAUUGGAAAACGAACUAACAUACGUGAGGGGAUUUGCAUACAUGAGAACAAAGAGAUCGUGAGCUGGCUAGAUAAUAGUUGAACGAUGCGCUGGUAAGAUUUGGAGAACGAGAGCUGAAAGCUAAGAAUGAGUAAUAUUUGUAAAGAUGGCCUUCGGAGGAAAGAAAUGGAAACAACUCAUAAAAUGCUCAGGAUGGGUGAAAAUAAUUCUCACAAUCGAAAAUAAUUAUGAGAGGAUGGCAUCAAGCUUGAACCAUGAAUCUUUGAGAGAACGGAUAAGAUUUGGAGGAAAACUCUUCUUCGGUCUUCAAAUGUUGAGAAUGACGAUGAGAAACACCAUCAUGCAUUGUUGAGGCACUCCAGAAUGAAAAAUAGAAAGGUUGAACCAACGAUGAAAGAAUUUGAAAGACCUUGGAGAAAGACAUUUGACCGAUGACAAUUCAUUCUUACGUCAAACUUGAAUGAAUUCAAUAAUAACUCCGGGAAAAUUAGAAGAGUCAGGUAAGAUCCUGGGAAAAGACCUUUGGGUUAGGGCCCACUCAAAAGAUACACCGUUGAACGAUUUAAAAGAAAGAUUUCACCGGUUGAAUUAAAUGACUUGAAUGAGAUAACAACCUCGAGAUAGCUUGAACGAAUUAGCAAUGGAAACGCGAAUCUUCUUUGAUAUCUUCAGCACUCCAGAGCAAAUAAAUGGUGAGAAGUGGAUGGUUAAGAGGUGCACCGGCAUGAGAAAACAUUUGAAACGAGGAAAGGAUAUGAUCGACAAAGCUUGAAUUGAAUCCACCGGAAAGAAAGAGAAUGAAAAAUGAUGAACUUGAGGCUUCCUUAAUAUCUUCCUGAGAAUCACCGGAUAAGAAUAUUGACAGAAAAGAGUGGGGAGACUUCACAUCAAUAAAAUGGAUAACGGAUUAAGAAAUCGGAGUCCUUGAAGAAAAAGGGUGGGAGGGCGGGAAAAACAAAGGCAACUUGGGGACGAACAACGUUGGAAAAAAACCUGAGGGGUGAUCUUGCGAAUGUUGAAAUGAUUGGAUCCACUUGAAGAGAAACACGCCGGUUGGAAAAGAAUUGGCAAGACCAUCUCAAUGAUCAAGAACGAUUAGCACUCCCAUAGAAAUAUGAGAGCACCGCUUGGAAAAAAGGUAUAGAAUCAACACUUGACUUCGAAGCAACUCGAAUACCACAACUCAAAACAAAACAAAGGAUUUGACUUGCAGGAUAAGACGGAACAAACAUAUGAUAGAUCCCAUAUCAUAUCAUGUGUCCAUUGGAAAGAUAUCCUACGAGCUACUUGAAUUCCCACUUAUAAACUCCCGAAACUUUCUGGUUAUGCAAUCAGGUGUGGGGAUACAUGGGAAGCAUAAUAUCUCACCCAAACUAACAAUUCCUACAUCCAGUUGUAUCCAUCCUUCAACACAUAACCAAGAAACCUUCGGAAAUCAUGUACCUCAACCUUCAAAAAGCAUCCAUUAUACGAGUUAUGGCAAUAAUCCCGAACUCCCGCCCCAGUACUGGGUGGCGUCGAGGUUAUCUCACUAACAACUGCAUAAAAGAGAUUUUUGAUGUCGGCGAAACUCAGGUAUUCCAAAACUACAAUGAUAAAAUUGUGACGACAACACCUCGGAGCUCAACUCCCCGGGACACUUCCACAACCCCUAAAUGUCAGGAGGCACCAAGAACAAUGUUCUCGUCACAAGACUAUCGGAACGAUUCCAAGAUACCCGCGUGAUCCUAAAAAAAUUUCGUGAAAUUUGAGGAGAGGGAAGUCAAAACUUCUACGUCAGGAGGCCUCACAAGAGUGACGAAGGGACUAAGGAGUAAAAAGAAUCCUACUCCCCGAUAUAUAUAAUCCUAAGACUCAAAACAUUUUGUUCCAGACUCAACAACAUUAGCGAUUCGAUCAAGCAGGGGGCUCCUAAGUCGGGGAUGGUUCUGAUUACCAACUUGUAACACCCACGAUGCGGCUAUAUCUCCCACGUGUCGAGGCACGACUUAGAGGCAUAACCGCAUGGUGGUUUAUUUGCAAGUGGGGUAAUCUUCACGCAAUCCCAUGUAUUGAAUAAGAAAGGGAUAAAGAGUUGGCUUACAAUCGGCACUUCACACAAAUAACAAGUUAAACAUACAUCAUCCAGAAUACAAUCAAGGUCCGACUACGGAACAAAAUAAAACAAGACAACCCCAAUUGCUAGAUCCCCAAUUGUCCCAAUUGGGCUCCACUACUGAUCAAUCGGAAAAGACACAUAACAAUGAUCAAGAUCUUCAUUGAGCUCCCACUUGAGCUGGAUUGCGUCACCUGCACUGGUAUCAUCGGCACCUGCAACUGUUUGGAAGUAUCUGUGAGUCAUGAGGACUCAGCAAUCUCACACCCGCAAGAUCAAGACUAUUUAAGCUUAUGGGUAGAAUAAGGCAAUGUGGUGGAGCUGCAGCAAGAACUAAGCAAAUAUGGUGGCUAACAUACGCAAAAAAGAGAGAGAAGAGAAGCAGCACAACGGUCGAGAAGCUAGAAGUGAUCAAGAAGUGAUUCUGAAACUACUUACGCACAAACAUAACACAAGAACCAUGUUCACUUCCCGGACUCCGCCGAAAAGAGAGCAUCACGGCUACACACGCGGUUGAUGCAUUUUAAUUAAGUUAAGUGUUAAGCUCUCUACAACCGGACAUUAACAAAUUCCCAUCUGCCACAUAACCGUGGGCAUGGCUUUCGAAAGUUUAUACCCUGCAGGGGUGUCCCAACUUAGCCCAUCACAGGCUCUCACGGUCAUCCCGGAAAGACCCGAUCAGUUUCGGAAUCCCGGUUACAAGACAUUUCGACAAUGGUAAAAUAAGACCAGCAAAGCCGCCCAAUGUGUCAACAAUCCCGAUAGGAGUCGCACGUAUAUCGUUCUCGGGACACACCGGAUAGGUCAAGCUACGAGUAAAACCAGCCCUCAAGUUGCCCCGAGGUGGCCCCGCGGGCUGCCCGGUUCGGACCAACACUUAGAGAAGCACUGGCCCGGGAGGGUAAAAUAAAGAUGACCCUCGGGAGCGCAACUCCCAAGGGAAAAGGUAUAGGUUGUUAGACAAAUGUAAAACCAAUGUUGGGCCUUGCUGGAGGAGUUUUAUUCAAAGCGAACUGUCAAGGGGUUCCCAUAACACACAACCACGUAAGGAACGCAAAAUCAAGGAACAUAACACCGGUAUGACGAAAACUAGGGCGGCAAGAGUGGAACAAAACACCAGGCAUAAGGCCGAGCCUUCCACCCUUUACCAAGUAUCUAGAUGCAUUCAUUAAAUAAGAGAUAUUGUGAUAUCCCAACAUAUCCAUGUUCCAACAUGGAACCAGCUUCAACUUCACCUGCAACUAGCAACGCUAUAAGAGGGGCUGAGCAAAAGUGGUAACAUAGCCAAACAACGGUUUGCUAGGAAGGUGGGUCAGAGGCUUGACAUGGUCAAAGCACAAGUGCUCCUUGGGUGAUUUUGAUAAUUAAUGACAACAUAUGUCUUGUUGGACUAAUACUUUUACCUAGUAUGUUUCAGACAAGUUCAACAAAUUAAAUGGCGUGGACUAAAGGAUGUGGAACCCCUUCAAGAUGCUAAGGACAAAGGAUUAGCUCAAGCUUCAAGAUCAAGACUCUACAUUUUCUAUUUUAGUGAGCCAAGAUCACAUUGAGUCUAUAGGAAAGCCAAUACUAUUAAGAAGGGAUGAGGUGUUGCUUAAUGGCUUGCUUGCUCAAAGUGCUUAGUGAUAUGCUCCAAAACCCUCAACUACGUUCCCACUUCCAUAUAUGUCCCACACCAAAUAUCCAACUCGGCCCCACCGAUUGUUUCUAUCUGGAGCCACCGAGUUCAGUUGACAUAGCCACUGCCACAAACCCUAAUCAAAUCGGUCUCACCGAUAGGGAUUUCGGUCUCACCGAGAUGGGCUUGCAAACUCUCUAUUACCUGUUGCAAUAUUUUCGGUCCCACCGAGAUAUGCAAUCGGCCCCACCGAGUUUGUUUGGCCAACUCUCUGUUUCGCUUAUUACCCAAAUCGGUCCCACCGAGUUUGAGUAAUCGGUCAAACCGAGUUUUGGAUUUACCCUAACCCUAGCACAUCGGUCCUACCGACUUGAUCUAGUCGGUCCCACCGAAAACCCUAACGGUCACUAGAUUUGCUAAAUUGGUCCGACCGAGUUUAUCAAUUUGGUCCCACCGAGAUUGGCAAGUUGUGUGUAAUGGUUAUAUUUUGUGUGGAGGCUAUAUAUACCCCUCCACCCACUCUUCAUUUGAAGGGAGAGCCAUCAGAACAUACCUACACUUCCAAUACACAUUUUCUGAGAGAGAACCACCUACUCAUGUGUUGAGGCCAAGAUAUUCCAUUCCCACCAUAUGAAUCUUGAUCUCUAGCCUUCCCCAAGUUGCUUUCCACUCAAAUUUUCUUUCCACCAAAUCCAUAUCCUGUGAGAGAGAGUUGAGUGUUGGGGAGACUAUCAUUUGAAGCACAAGAGCAAGGAGUUCAUCAUCAACACACCAUUUGUUACUUCUUGGAGAGUGGUGUCUCCUAGAUUGGCUAGGUGUCACUUGGGAGCCUCCGACAAGAUUGUGGAGUUGAACCAAGGAGUUUGUAAGGGCAAGGAGAUCGCCUACUUCGUGAAGAUCUACCGCUAGUGAGGCAAGUCCUUCGUGGGUGAUGGCCAUGAUGGGAUAGACAAGGUUGCUUCUUCGUGGACCCUUCGUGGGUGGAGCCCUCCGUGGACUCGCGCAACCGUUACCCUUCAUGGGCUGAAGUCUCCAUCAACGUGGAUGUACGAUAACACCACCUAUCGGAACCACGACAAAAACAUCUGUGUCUCCAAUUGCGUUUGAAUUCUCCAAACCCUUCCCCUUACAUUCUUGCAAGUUGCAUGCUUUACUUUCCGCUGCUCAUAUACUCUUUGCAUGCUUUCUUGAUAUGUAUUGUGUUUGUUAAACUUGUGCCAAAACUCGACUUCAACUUAAAGAAGUUAAAAACUGCAACUUUUGGUAUUUAGUGUCUAAUCACCCCCCCCCCCUCUAGACACCUCUUCUCGAUCCUUUCACAUGGCAACAUGGGAGGCAUGAUAUAACAAGUGGUAGGUAGCACAACAUAGUGAUAGAGCGAACAACUAGCAAGCAAAGAUAGAAGUGAUUUUGAGGGUAUGGUCAUCUUGCCUGAAAUCCCGCAAGGCAGAAGAACGAGUCCAAGAAGUAGACGACCCAACGUAGUCGGACGAAUCCUCACAACUUCGGAACGAAACCAAAACUAACGAGAGAAGCAACCCGAAAAGAAGCAAACAACAUGGUAAACACACAAACAUAACAUGGCAUGAUUCACAAACAAGGAUGAUGCAUGUACGGUUUAAAUAUGCAUGGCAUGGCAAACUGCAACAAACAAUACUACAAAUUAAGUGGAGCUCAAUAUGCAACGAGUUGCGUAUUGAUGAAACACCACAUCAAUUAUUUAGUUCUCUCUCGUUUAUGUACCCAACAAUAUUAAAUGUUGUUAAACAUGGCAAGAGGUGAGACAAAAGUAAACUACACAUUUUAGGCAAUUUAAAUAAGGCCGGAAACAUCAAGCAACAAUUCCGGUAAAUCCUCAUGUGCAUUAGCAAUUUAAUGCAACAACAAUUUUAAACAUUUUAAAUGUUAUUAUCAUGAUGUGAAUGACAUGUGCAAGUUUUAUGCGAUUUUUGUUAAAAGUUGACAUGAGCAUUACGAAGCAUUUGUCAUCAUGGAGGAAACGAAAUGGGUGCCACGACAACGACAAUGGAAAUGGUGUCACGGAAACAUUCCGGUUCCAGUAACUCGAUUGAGAUGCCGGUGCAAAAGAGAGUGUGACGGGAGCGUGUCAUGCAAGGAUGGUGGGGUGAUUCUGGUUACCGGAUAUCCCAUGUGUCGGUGGCAUGGCAACCGACGGUCGUGCACGAAACAAACGGGCACGGUGCAAACACGAGCAUCUCAUACAACACACAUGCAUACGGUCCACGGCGUCGUCUCGGGGUUAUACCUUCAAGGCGUGCAAUCAGGACGGUUCGGGUUCGUAGAGGGAAGUAGACGUUCUCGCGAUGGAGUCGACCUUGAUGUGUCCAGGGGACGCUCAGGUCGGUGGGGGUUCUCGGUCUUGCGGUUCUGGUCGGCUCAUCGAAACGCAGGCAGGGCCUAUGGAUUCAUGGAGCAAGACAACAGCAACCUUGCGUGAAGGAGGCCAUGGAGGCGAAGAAACUAAUCGGAGGCCGGUACAGAGAGUUGCGGGUCAUGGCACUGGUCGAUGCGGGCGAGCAGAAGCGCGUCCUCCUCCCCGCUCGAAUGAGGCAGAGGCGGGGCAGUGGCUUGGCGAGCUUGAGGCCAUGGUUGCGGGCUAAGGAACGAGGUCUGGCGGGGUGGCGAUGCUGCUGGUGGAGGACGGCGUGGGCGUAGAAGGCAGGGGCGCGAGGAGGCGAAGCAGAGGACGGGGAGGCCGGAGGAGCUGUCCUGGGGGCGGCGGAGUCCGACGAGGAAGAGGUCUGGAGCAGGGCACCAUGGCGGGGAGGCGAUGUGGCUCCGGUGGAGAAGUAUAGAGCGGCCACAACGAUGGUGGUAGACGCAGAAGGCGGGGCCGCAGGCACCCAUGGCCUUGACGAGGGGGUUGCGCGCGAGGCUCCUUCGGUGGAGGCGACGAACGGGCGGCGACCAUGGCAAACGAGGAGGUAGGACAGCGAGGCGGCGGCCCAGUCGCGGAGGACGAAGGGGAGAGAAGGGAGAUGGGGUUCGAUGGAGAUGGGGGAUCAGGCGUCGGGUUUCUUGCGGCGCGAGGGAAGGAGAUGGGAUCGAGGGGAGAGACCGAGAGAUGGGAACGGGCUCCCUGGCGAAUAGGGUUAGUGCGGCUGAGCCUAGGGAGGCCGCGGAUGGGCUGCUGAGAGGCCUAGCUGGGCUGCGGGGAGACAGGUUGGCCUGGCCGCUGGGCUCUCUCUCUCUCUCUCUCUCCUUAUUUUCUUUAGCAGAAAACAAUUAAAGAGAAGAAAAAAUAGAGGGGGUUAGGGAAAGAAGUUGGACACGCGGAUAAAUUUCCCGAACUCACAAAAAACGUGCAUGUUCAUAGAAAAAUAGAAGUGGCAAGAUUGCAGUAGUUAAAUUCAAAUUCAUUUGAAUAUAAUUCAAAUGAUUUUGAAAUGGGACUAGGUUUGGUGUGGCCAAAAAUGUUCGGAUUUUUGGUGGAGCUCCAAAAAUGAUGAAAGAAUAUAUGGCAAGGUUGGAGACCAAGAAUUGAGAUAACAAAGACAUUGGGAUAAUUUGCAAGUGUGUUAUGGUGAAUUCCAAAUUAAAGAAAUAUUUAAUAUAGCUCCCUAAUAUUGGGAGGAUAUGUUAUAAAGAGAAGUCACUCUUCCCUCAAUUUAAAUAGAUCAACCAUCUAUGCAAUUUAUUAGUUGUGUUUAAAAAAUGAAAUGGCAUGAUGGCAUGAUGACAUGAUGCAAAGAUGAAUGCAACAGACAAAACAAUCACCCGACAAAACUCGGAAAACAUGGAAGGCAUCUGAAGCUCCGGUCUUAGGGCAUUACGGUAUAACAUUCCAAAUUGGAAAUUUGGGAUGUUACAUUGGGAUUCUUUCCGGUGAUUAUCGUAGUUUGAGAAGUUCAUGUAUUCACUAAGUGCUAAUGCUUUCUUCCGGUUCUCUAUUAAAAGGAGGCCUUAAUAACCCUUUGUUUCCAUUAGGACCCCGCUACUACGGGAGGGUAGGACAAAAUAUAUCAUGCAAGUAUUUUCCAUAAGCACAUAUGACUAUAUACGAAAUACAUGCCUACAUUAUAUUGAUGAAUUGGAGCUAGUCCCGUGUCACCCUAUGUUAUAACUGGUGUAUGAUGAAUGCCAUCCGACACAACUAUCAUUGUCGAUCCAUUGCCUACAAGCUUUUCACAUAUUGAUCUUUGCUAAGUUACUUUCACUUGUCCACUGUCACAGUUGCUACAAAACUGCUACUGUUACUUCCAUACUACUUUGCUACUAAAUACUUUGCUGCGGAUAUUUAGUCUUUCAGGUGUGAUUGAAUUGACAACUCAGCUGCUAAUACUCGAGAAUAUUAUUUGGCUCCCCUUGUGUCGAAUUAAUAAAUUUGGGUUGAAUACUCUACCCUCGAAAACUAUUCUGAUCCCCUAUACUUGUGGGUUAUCAACGUCUACAAUGAACUACUCACGCAUCAUCAGAGAGGCACAAAUGAGGAUGAUGAACCCCUCCGUGAUGGUGUCUAGAUUGGAUUUGUGGUUUCUGGAACUUGCGGCGACUGGAAUUGUGUUUCGUCGACUCCCCUAGGGUUUUUGGAUUUUCAGGGUAUUUAUAGAGCAAAGAGGCAGUGCGGGAGGCCACCGGCGUGGGCACAACCCACCAGGGCACCCAGGUGGGUGUUGGGGAACGUAGCAGAAAUUCAAAAUUUUCUACGCAUCACCAAGAUCAAUCUAUGGAGUAAUCUAGCAACAAGGGGAAGGAGAGUGCAUCUACAUACCCUUGUAGAUCGCUAAGUGGAAGCGUUCAAGUGAACGGGGUUGAUGGAGUCGUACUCGUCGUGAUCCAAAUCACCGAUGAUCCUAGUGCCGAACGGACGGCACCUCCGUGUUCAACACACGUACAGCCCGGUGACGUCUCCUAUGCCUUGAUCCAGCAAGGGGAGAAGGAGAGGUUGGGGAAGACUCCAUCCAGAAGCAACACGACAGCGUGGUGGUGGUGAAGCGUGGUACUCCAGCAGGGCUUCGCCAAGCACCGUAAGAGACGAGGAGGGAGAGGGGUAGGGCUGCGCCAACAAGAGAAGAAACUUCGUCUGUGGGCUGCUCCUUUGCCUCCACUAUAUAUAGGGGGAGAGGGAGGGAUGCGCCCCCACCUAGGGUUCCACCCUAGGGGCGGCGGCCAGCCCAGAUCCCAUCUGGUGGGGCGGCCAAGGGGGGAAGAGGGGAAACUUGCCCCCCCAAGCUAGGUGGGGCGCCCCCUCCCUAAACCCUAGGCGCCUUGGGCCUUGGUGGGGGGCGCACCAGCCCACCUGGGGCUGGUCCCCUCCCACACUUGGCCCAUGCAGCCCUCCAGGGCUGGUGGCCCCACUUGGUGGACCACCAGGACCCUCCCGGUGGUCCCGGUACAUUACCGAUAAAACCCAAAACUUUUCCGACGACCAAAACAGGACUUCCCAUAUGUAAAUCUUUACCUCCGGACCAUUCCGGAACUCCUCGUGACGUCUGGGAUCUCAUCCGGAACUCCGAACAACAUUCGGUAACCACGUAUAUCUAUUCCCUAUAACCCUAGCGUCAUCGAAGCUUAAGUGUGUAGACCCUACGGGUUCGGGAACCAUGCAUACAUGACCGAGAUAACUCUCCGGUCAAUAACCAACAGCGGGAUCUGGAUACCCAUGUUGGCUCCCACAUGCUCCAUGAUGAUCUCAUCGGAUGAACCACGAUGUCAAGGACUUAAUCAAUCCCGUAUACAAUUCCCUUUGUCUAUCGGUACGAUACUUGCCCGAGAUUCGAUCGUCGGUAUCCCGAUACCUUGUUCAAUCUCGUUACCGGCAAGUCUCUUUACUCGUUCCGUAACACAUCAUCCCGUGAUCAACUCCUUGAUCACAUUGUGCACAUUAUGAUGAUGUCCUACCGAGUGGGCCCAGAGAUACCUCUCCAUCACACGGAGUGACAAAUCCUAGUCUCGAUUCGUGCCAACCCAACAGACACUUUCGGAGAUACCCGUAGUGCACCUUUAUAGCCACCCAGUUACGUUGUGACGUUUGGCACACCCAAAGUAUUCCUACGGUAUCCGGGAGUUGCACAAUCUCAUGGUCUAAGAAAAUGAUACUUGACAUUAGAAAAGCUUUAGCAUGCGAACUACACGAUCUUGUGCUAUGCUUAGGAUUGGGUCUUGUCCAUCACAUCAUUCUUCUAAUGAUGUGAUCCCGUUAUCAAUGACAUCCAAUGUCCAUGGUCAGGAAACCGUAACCAUCUAUUGAUCAACGAGCUAGUCACCUAGAGGCUUACUAGGGACAUGGUGUUGUCUAUGUAUCCACACAUGUGUCUGAGUUUCCUAUAAAUACAAUUCUAGCAUGGAUAAUAAACGAUUAUCAUGAACAAGGAAAUAUAAUAAUAACCAAUUUAUUAUUGCAUCUAGGGCAUAUUUCCAACAGUCUCCCACUUGCACUAGAGUCAAUAAUCCAGUUCACAUUGAUAUGUGAUUAACACUCAAGGUCACAUCCCCAUGUGACUAACACCCAAAGAGUUCUGGGUUUGAUCAUGUUAUACUUGUGAGAGAGGUUUCAGUCAACGGGUCUGCAACAUUCAGAUCCGUAUGUACUUCGCAAAUUUCUAUGUCAUCUUGUAGAUGCAACUACUACGCUACAUUUGGAGCCAUUUCAAAUAACUGUUCUACUUGGAGCUGUUCUAAAUUGUUGCUCCAUUAUACGUAUCCGGUAUCUCUACUCAGAGCUAUCCGGAUAGAUGUUAAGCUUGCAUCGACGUAACUCUUUACGUCGAACUCUUUAUCACCUCCAUAACCGAGAAACAUAUCCUUAUUCCUCUAAGGAUAAUUUAGACCGCUAUCUGGUGAUCUACUCCUAGAUUACCUUUGUACCCUCUUGCCAGAUAUGUGGCAAGGCACACAUCUGGUGCGGUACUCAGCAUGGCAUACCGUAUAGAGCCUAUGACAAAAGCAUAGGGGACGACCUUCGUCCUUUCUCUCUAUUUUGCCGCGGUCAGGUUUCGGGUCUUACUCAAUGUUCACACCUUAUAACACAGCCAAGAACUCCUUCUUUGCCGAUCCAUUUUGAACUCCUUCAAAAUCUUGUCAUGGUAUAUAUUCAUUUGAAAGUACUAUUAAGCGUUUUGAUCUAUCCUUAUAGAUCUUAAUGCUCAAUACUCAAGUAGCCUAAUCCAGGUUUUCCAUUGAAAAACACUUUUCAAAUAACUCUGCAUGCUUUCCAGAAAUCUACAUCAUUUCCGAUCAACAAUAUGUCAACAACAUAUAUUCAUCAGAAAUUCUAUAGUGCUCCCACUCACUUCUUUGGAAAUACAAGUUUCUCAUAAACUUUGUAUACACCCAAAAUCUUUGAUCAUCUCAUCAAAGCAUACAUUCCAACUCCGAGAUGCUUACUCCAGUCCUUAGAAGGAUUGCUAGAGCUUUGCAUACUUGUUAGCAUCUUUCAGGAUUGACAAAACCUUCCAGUUGUAUCACAUACAACCUUUCCUCAAGAAAAUCGUCGAGGAAACAAUGUUUUGAUAUCCUAUCUGCAAGAUUUCAUAAAUAAUGCAGUAAUCGCUAAUAUAAUUCCAACAGACUCUUAGCAUCGCUAUGAGUGAGAAAGUCUCAUCAUAGUUAACUAUUUGAACUUGUCGGAAAACAUCUUAACGACAAGUCGAGCUUUCUUAAUGGUGAUACUUACCAUCAUUGUCCGUCUUCCUUUUAAAAUCCAUAUGUACCUAACAGCCUUAUGACCAUCAAGUAGUUCUUCCAAAGUCUACACUUUGUUUUCAUAUAUGGAUCCUCUCUCGGAUUAUAUGGCCUCGAGCCAUUUUGGAAUCCAGGCCCACCAUCGCUUUUCCAUAGCUCGUAGGUUCAUUGUUGUCUAGCAACAUGACUUCCAAGACAGGAUUACGUACCAAUCUGAAGUAGUACGCAUCCUUGUCAUCCCACGAGGUUUGGUAGUGACUUGAUCUGAAGUUUCAUGAUCACUAUCAUAAGCUUCCACUUCAAUUGGUGUAGGUGCCACAGGAACAACUCCCUGUGCCCUGCCACACACUAGUUGAAGAGACGGUUCAAUAACCUCAUCAAGUCUCCACCAUCCUCCCACUCAAUUCUUACGAGAAAAACCUUUCUUCCUCGAGAAAGGACCCGAUUCUAGAAACAAUCCCUUAUUGCUUUCGGAUCUGAGACAGGAGGUACACCCAACUGUUUUGGGUGUCCUAUGAAGAUGCAUUUAUCCGCUUUGGGUUCGAGCUUAUCAGCCUGAAACUUUUUCACAUAAGCGUCGCAGCCCCAAACUUUUAAGAAAUGACAGCUUAGGUUUCUCUAAACCAUAGUUCAUACGGUGUCAUCUCAUCGGAAUUACGUGGUGCCCUAUUUAAAGUGAAUGUGGUUGUCUCUAAUGCCUAACCCAUAAACUAUCGUGGUAAUUCGAUAAGAGACAUCAUGGUAUGCAUCAUAUCCAAUAGGGUGUAAUUAUGAUGUUCGGACACACCAUCAUACUAUGGUGUUUCAGGCUGUAUUAGUUGUGAAACAAUUUCCACAAUGUCUUAAUUCUGUGCCAAACUCGUAAUUCAGAUAUUCAUCUCUAUGAUCAUAUCAUAGAUAUUUUAUCCUCUUGUCAUGAUGAUCUUUCAACUUCACCCUGAAAUUACUUGAACCUUUCAAUAAUUCAGACUCGUGAUUCAUCAAGUAAAUAUACUCAACAUCUACUCAAAUCAUCUGUGAAGUAAGAACAUAACGAUAUCCACUACACGCCUCAGCACUCAUUGGACUGCACACAUCAAAAUGUAUUACUUCCAACAAGUUGCUUUCUAGUUCCAUUUUACUGAAAACGAGGCUUUCAGUCAUCUUGCCCGUGUGGUAUGAUUUGCAUGUCUCAAGUGAUUCAAAAUCAAGUGAGUCCAAACGGUCCAUUUGCAUGGAGUUUCUUCAUGCAUAUACACCAAUAGACAUGGUUCGCAUGUCUCAAACUUUUCAAAACGAGUGAGCCCAAAGAUCCAUCAACAUGGAGCUUCUUCAUGCGUUUUAUACCGAUAUGACUUACGUGGCAGUGCCACAAGUAGGUGGUACUAUCAUUACUAUCUUAUAUCUUUUGACAUGAACAUGUGUAUCACUACGAUCGAGAUUCAAUAAACCAUUCAUUUUAGGUGCAAGACCAUUGAAGGUAUUAUUCAAAUAAAUAGAGUAACCAUUAUUCUCCUUAAAUGAAUAACCAUAUUGCGAUAGACAUAAUCCAAUCAUGUCUAUGCUCAACGGAAACACCAAUCUCGAUGGUAGAGGGAGCGUGCCAUGCUUGAUCACAUCAAGCUUGGGAAAAACUUCCAACACAUAUCGCCAGCUCACCUUUAGCAAGUCUCCAUUUACUCUGCAGCCUUUUAUUUCGAGUUUACUAACAUUUAGCAACCGAACCGGUAUCUAAUACCAUGGUGCUACUAGGAGUACUAGUAAAGUACACAUUAACACAAUGUAUAUCCAAUAUACUUCUAUCGACCUUGCCAGCCUUCUCAUCUACCAAGUAUCUAGGGUAAUUCUGCUCCAGUGGCUGUUCCCCUUAUUACAGAAGCACUUAGUCUCAGGUUUGGGUUCAACCUUGGGUUUCUUCACUAGAGCAGCAGCUGAUUUGUCGUUUCAUGAAGUAUCCCUUCUUGCCCUUGCCCUUCUUGAAACUAGUGGUUUCACCAACCAUCAACAAUUGAUGCUCCUUCUUGAUUUCUACUUUUGUGGUGUCAAACAUCGCGAAUAUCUCAAGGAUCAUCAUAUAUGUCCCUGAUAUAUUAUAGUUCAUCACGAAGCUCUAGCAGCUUGGUGGUAACGAGUUCGAAGAAACAUCACUAUCUCAUCUGGAAGAUCAACUCCCACUCGAUUCAAAUGAUUGUUGUACUCAGACAAUCUUGAGCACAAGCUCAACAAUUGAGCUUUUCUCCCUUAGUUUGCAGGCUAAGAAAAUCGUCGGAGGUCUUAUACCUCUUGAUGUGGGCACGAGCCUGAAAUUCCAAUUUCAGCCCUUGAAACAUCUCAUAUGUUUCGCGACGUUUCAAAACGUCUUCGGUGCCUCAACUCUAAACCGUUUAACUGAACUAUCACGUAGUUAUCAAAAUGUGUAUGUCAGAUGUUCGCAACAUCCACAGACGACGUUUGAGGUUCAGCACACUGAGCAGUGCAUUAAGUACAUAAGCCUUCUAUGAAGCAAUGAGGACAAUCCUCAGUUUACGGACCUAGUCCGCAUAAUUGCUACUAUCAUCUUUCAACUAAAUUUUCUCCAGGAACAUAUCUAAACAGUAUAACUGAAGCGCGAGCCACGACAUAAUUUGCGAAGACCUUUUGACUAUGUUUAGGAUAAUUAAGUUCAUCUUAUGAACUCCCACUCAGAUAGACAUCCCUCUAGUCAUCUAAGUGAUUACAUGAUCCGAGUCAACUAGACCAUGUCCGAUCAUCACGUGAGACGGACUAGUCAUCAUCGGUGAACAUCUUCAUGUUGACCGUAUCUACCAUACGACUCAUGCUCGACCUUUCGGUCUCUUGUGUUCCGAGGCCAUGUUUGUACAUGCUAGGCUCGUCAAGUCAACCUAAGUGUUUCGCGUGUGUAAAUCUGGCUUACACCCGUUGUAUGUGAACGUAAGAAUCUAUCACACCCGAUCAUCACGUGGUGCUUCGAAACGAUGAACUUUUGCAACGGUGCACAGUUAGAGGGAACACUUUCUUGAAAUUUUAAUGAGGGAUCAUCUUAUUUACUACCGUCGUUCUAAGCAAAUAAGAUGUAUAAACAUGAUAAACAUCACAUGCAAUCAAAUAGUGACAUGAUAUGGCCAAUAUCAUAUUGCUCCUUUUGAUCUCCAUCUUCGGGGCUCCAUGAUCAUCAUCGUCACCGGCAUGACACCAUGAUCUCCAUCAUCAUGAUUUCCAUCAUUGUGUCUCCAUGAAGUUGUCUCGCCCACUUAUUACUUCUACUACUAUGGCUACCGGUUAGCAAUAAAGUAAAGUAAUUACAUGGCGUUGUUCAAUGACACGUAGGUCAUACAAUAAAUAAAGACAACUCCUAUGGCUCCUGCCGGUUGUCAUACUCAUCGACAUGCAAGUCGUGAUUCCUAUUACAAGAACAUGAUCAAUCUCAUACAUCACAUAUUAUUCAUCACAUUCUUCUUGGCCAUAUCACAUCACAUAGCAAAUGCUGCAAAAACAAGUUAGACGUCCUCUAAUUGUUGUUGCAAGUUUUUUACGUGGCUGCUAUAGGUUGCUAGCAAGAACGUUUCUUACCUACGCAAAAACCACAACGUGAUAUGCCAAUUGCUAUUUACCCUUCAUAAGGACCCUUUUCAUCGAAUCCGAUCUGACUAAAGUGGGAGAGAUAGACACCCGCUAGCCACCUUAUGCAACUAGUGCAUGUCAGUCGGUGGAACCAGUCUCACGUAAGAGUACGUGUAAGGUCGGUCCGGGCCGCUUCAUCCCACGAUGUCGCCCGAAUCAAGAUAAGACUAGUAACGGCAAGAUAAUUGACAAUAUCGACGCCCACAACUACUUUGUGUUCUACUCGUGCAUAGUAACUACGCAUAGACCUAGCUCAUGAUGCCACUGUUGGGGAACGUAGCAGAAAUUCAAAAUUUUCUACGCAUCACCAAGAUCAAUCUAUGGAGUAAUCUAGCAACGAGGGGAAGGAGAGUGCAUCUACAUACCCUUGUAGAUCGCUAAGCGGAACGUUCAAGUGAACGGGGGUGAUGGAGUCGUACUCGUCGUGAUCCAAAUCACCGAUGAUCCUAGUGCCGAACGGACGGCACCUCCGUGUUCAACACACGUACAGCCCGGUGAUGUCUCCUACGCCUUGAUCCAGCAAGGGGAGAAGGAGAGGUUGGGGAAGACUCCAUCCAGCAGCAACACGACGGGGUGGUGGUGGUGGAGGAGCGUGGUACUCCAGCAGGGCUUCGCCAAGCACCGUAAGAGACGAGGAGGGAGAGGGGUAGGGCUGCGCCAACAAGAGAAGAAACUUCGUCUGUGGGCUGCUCCUUUGCCUCCACUAUAUAUAGGGGAGAGGGAGGGCUGUGCCCCCACCUAGGGUUCCACCCUAGGGGCGGCGGCCAGCCCAGAUCCCAUCUGGUGGGGCGUCCAAGGGGGGGAAGAGGGGAAACUUGCCCCCCCCCCAAGCUAGGUGGGGCGCCCCCUCCCUAAACCCUAGGCACCUUGGGCCUUGGUGGGGGGCGCACCAGCCCACCUGGGGCUGGUCUCCUCCCACACUUGGCCCAUGCAACCCUCCGGGGCUGGUGGCCCCACUUGGUGGACCACCAGGACCCUCCCGGUGGUCCCGGUACAUUACCGAUAAAACCCGAAACUUUUCCGGCGACCAAAACAGGACUUCCCAUAUAUAAAUCUUUACCUCCGGACCAUUCCGGAACUCCUCGUGAUGUCCGGGAUCUCAUCCGGGACUCCGAACAACAUUCGGUAACCACAUAUAUCUAUUCCCUAUAACCCUAGCGUCAUCGAACCUUAAGUGUGUAGACCCUACGGGUUCGGGAACCAUGCAGACAUGACCGAGAUAACUCUCCGGUCAAUAACCAACAGCGGGAUCUGGAUACCCAUGUUGGCUCCCACAUGCUCCACGAUGAUCUCAUCGGAUGAACCACGAUGUCAAGGACUUAAUCAAUCCCGUAUACAAUUCCCUUUGUCUAUCGGUACGAUACUUGCCCGAGAUUCGAUCGUCGGUAUCCCGAUACCUUGUUCAAUCUCGUUACCAGCAAGUCUCUUUACUCGUUCCAUAACACAUCAUCCCGUGAUCAACUCCUUGAUCACAUUGUGCACAUUAUGAUGAUGUCCUACCGAGUGGGCCCAGAGAUACCUCUCCGUCACACGGAGUGACAAAUCCCAGUCUCGAUUUGUGCCAACCCAACAGACACUUUUGGAGAUACCCGUAGUGCACCUUUAUAGCCACCCAGUUAUGUUGUGACGUUUGGCACACCCAAAGUAUUCCUACAGUAUCUGGGAGUUGCACAAUCUCAUGGUCUAAGGAAACGAUACUUGACAUAAGAAAAGCUUUAGCAUGCGAACUACACGAUCUUGUGCUAUGCUUAGGAUUGGGUCUUGUCCAUCACAUCAUUCUUCUAAUGAUGUGAUCCCGUUAUCAAUGACAUCCAAUGUCCAUGGUUAGGAAACCGUAACCAUCUAUUGAUCAACGAGCUAGUCACCUAGAGGCUUACUAGGGACAUGGUGUUGUCUAUGUAUCCACACAUGUAUCUGAGUUUCCUAUCAAUACAAUUCUAGCAUGGAUAAUAAACGAUUAUCAUGAACAAGGAAAUAUAAUAAUAACCAAUUUAUUAUUGCCUCUAGGGCAUAUUUCCAACAGUGGGUUGUGCUCCCCUUGGAGCUCCCCUCUGGUACUUCCUUGGUUCAUCGUGCGCCUUCUGGUCCAGAAAAAAUAUCCAAAAAGUUUUCGCUGUGUUGGACUCCGUUUGGUAUUGAUUUUCUGCGAAGUAAAAGACAAGCAAAAAACAGCAACUGGCACUAGGCACUAUGUCAAUAGGUUAGUCCCCAAAAAUGAUAUAAAGUUGCUAUAGAAUGAUUGUAAAACAUCUGACAAUGAUAAUAUAACAGCAUGAAACAAUAAAAAAUUAUAGAUACGUUGGAGACGUAUCAGGAUCCAUCUGGCACUCCACUUCCUGAGGUGAUUGCAGACUUGUGUCGAAGUGACCUCUUGGCCACAUGUCAAACACCUUCUUGGAAACAGAUUUCAAGUGCACCUCCUUGAAGCCCUUAUCAGUCCUUACCCUGUUGACUAUGAUCUUACAUAUUUGUUAAGCACGAAAGUAGUAAGAACGACUGACAUUUCAUUGAGUUCCCCCUCCCAGCCAUCUUUACCCUCCUAGCCUUGGUGGUUGCCUUAUGUGUAGAAGCAACAACAUUAGACGCAUCUGACACAUAUGUGCUAGGCACAAAUGGUAGACGCCUUGCAGACCCCUCGAGGGAAUCUAAUUCAGAGAUAUCUGAUCCUCGGUCAUAGGCUAGGGGUCCUCAAAAUAGGAUGACGGGAAUUGGCUCUCGAACAAGACAAUGAAAUGGCUAAAAUCUUGCAACCUCAUGUCCUACAAGCGUUAGCGUCACGAUUUGUGAAACACACUACACAUGGACAGUAAGAAGGACCACUACGCAUGGAUAGUAAGCAUAUUACACAUGGACCAUGAAGUUCAACACAUCACCCUAUGACUGAUCUUCAAUCUCAUAGCAUGCCAUGAAGUUCAACACACUACCACACCUACAUACUUGCAAACUAGCAUACUACACAUGCUCCGAUUCAGAGGCUAGUACCAAAUCUACCAUGGUAUCAUCCUUGUUGACAAGGAACAACAUGAACAUCAUCAAAGCUUACAAGCAACACCUAUCAUGCUACCAAUUCAUCAACACUAGCUACCAAAACAUCACAUUCUCAUGGAUCGACGGUCUAUAGUGCUACCACAUGCUCACAUAUCUAAGAUAGAAUUAGUAGGAAGGACGGACUGACCGAACUUACAACCAUCGAUUAAGCCCGAUGGAGGCGUGGAACUGGUCGGAAACAGGAAGAAGACAAAUCGUCGCCAUUGUCGACCGCCAGCCGAAGAAGACGUGUCGCUUACCUGCUCGUCGAUGACGAUCCGCGCAAAACGGAGAGCUCGAAUGAGGGGGCGCGAGUUUGGGUCGUGAGCCGAGGGUGGCUGUAUAGGGCGACCGAUUCGGCAGGAGGUGGCCACAAAUUCUUCCUGCAGAUUUUUAGGGACGCGCACGAUCUCGCACCAUCUCCUUGCUCUCAUGAGCUUGACGCCGUGUUCCCCUUCCUUGUAUCGUCCGAGUUUGGCUGAGGGGAAACGGGCGAUUCCACUGUUCCAACGAGCCUGCCUGGUAGGGUACUUUAAGUUUUGUGCUAUGCUAACCAAACAGUGAAUAUAGGCUAUCAAAUAGGACAUUUUUGCACCCCGUGGGUUUGGUUGGACCUAAUGCAGGCUAUCAAACAUACCCUCGAAGACCAGCCCUACAGAGACGGGAGGAACGCGAUAGAUGGAUCGAUGAGGACGAUGGCCAGUGUUUGCUCAUAUCUUUGAGGUGGGCUUUGAGAGAGGACCAACACAUGUUUGAUGCAUGCUCACCGGCGAUGGAAUGUGACGCAACUGAAACAUGUUUGAUGCAUGUUGGAGAGAGGACCAAACACACAAAAGUCAUCUUCUACUCGCGAGCUUGAGCUCACGACCAACAUCAAGCUCACAAAAAAAUAAAAAUAAAUGGAAAAAACUGAUUUUUUUAAUGAAUUUUGACAAAUGUUUCAAGUGCUUGAAAAUUUUCAUCAUGAAAUGACAUUCGCGGAUGUCAUUGUUGCCACCUCUUCCACGAAUGUCAUUCUUUGAUGGAAUUUUAUGAGCACCGAAAACAUUUAUCAAUGUUUGCUCUGGAAUAAUUCCAGAAUUUUUUAAAUUUUAUUUUAAUAUUUUUGGAUUUUACUGUUCACCUGAGCUAAUUUGAGCUCGAGCUCGGAAAUUCAGCGUCCACAAACACAUCCUAAUGCUUCAGCACAUUUGUCGAGCGUGGAAAGUAAAAGAGCAACCCUGGUAACACAAAUCAUCAAACUAUUACACUCGUUUAACUCAAUCUGACAAAAGAAUCGACGACGACGACGCACCUCGACACAGAUAGACAGGUGCGUGCGUGCCGUGCUCCCGUAAACAGUACAUUACAGUACAAAAGUAAAGCAAAGUAGAACAGCACAAGAGUACACAUACGCAUAGACGGACA